rnacentral:lncRNA from 1 species
UUUUUUUUUUUUUUAAUGUCCUAAUUAAAUAUGCUUAGGAUCUCACAUAAUUAAGGGUGGAGAAAUCGACGUCCCUUUUUUGUAGACAGUAUAUACAAAGUUGUUUCUUUCAAUGAGCUUGGGGAGCUAUGGACUACAAAAAAUAGUGAUCAUAAUUCUAAACAUACAAGAAGUCAAGAAGGUGGAGAAAUGGGCGCUGAUAAGGGGAACAUAAUAAUUUGCUCAGACCGUCACUUGAAGACUUUAAGUCAAGUCAUCGUUUGAUAAGAUCAGCCCAUCGCCAUCACUUGAAGACAUGAAGACUUGUUCGACAAAAAAAGAAAAAAAGAAAACUUGAAGACUUGGAGUCAAUUCAUCGUUUGCAUGUAAUAAUUAUUAUGUUCACCUUUGAACAAAAGAAAAAAAACCCAUCUCACUGUAAGAUUGAAAAUUUCUGUACUCAUAUCUAAAGUCAAAAUCUUAACAUAUACAAGUAAAAAUUUCACCGGUGUUCUAAGCUAGUUACAAAUACCAUACCAUUAUUCAUCCGACCCCCUUAAUUAUAUACUAAUCAGAAGGGGCUUAUGGGUGUUUCGAUCACCAAGGCACGUAACCUACAGAAAUAAAAAGAAAUGCAAAUAUGAUAAGGAGAGCUACUUUUCAGCACAAAGAAGUAAAGGAAGAAGCAAAAGAAGGCGUCUGUGGAGAUAGUCUUUACGGCAAGUGAAACAUUCUAUAUAUAUCAUUGUCAGAAGCACGAUUUGAGAGUGAAUCCGUCAUUAAUUACUCUUGUUACUAUUCUCCAAUAGGCUUUUUCAUGUUUCCACUCAAUUUUCAUUACGCAGAUGUAUUAUGUCAAGCUGAGUCCUCUCCGAACCGCAGGAGAUAGUUGCCCAUCAUGCAAAGUGACUUUUGGUUCUCACCAAUCUGUUCAUUUUCUUUCCACCAUUACUAGUCAUCCCCUAGCAAAGUUGUCUCCUAAAGGGAAGGAUUUGAUCAUGAUACGAGAGAUAGAGAUGGAAAAGUACAUGAUUUUAUAGGCUAGGGUUUAAUAUUUUUAUUUUUCUUUAAUCAUCAAGAAAAAAAAGGUCAUUGGAUCAUCGUGGUUUAACUUGUUUUCUUUGAUACAUUCGAUAUUUUCAUGAAAAUAUCCAAAAAAUCAUAUAAAGUUACGGAGAUGGGGGGUGAAGUCUAAACUUCACUUUAUAUCAAAGAAACUCUUAAGUUUAGGAUAAAAUCGACAUAUAUCGUCGAUAUUUUGUAUACACCUGUUAAAUAUCGAAAAAAAAUCUCAUAUUUUGUCCAAAUCAAUGUUUAAGAAUUCCCAAUGUUUCAUUUUAAAUUUUCAUUAUUUCCAUAGAAAGCAACCAAUAUUCAAUAUGUCCGUCGAUAUUUCCACAAAUUUGCUUAUUGAUAUUUUCACGGUUACUGAUAUUGUAAGCAUUGGUUGUAACAGAUACAACAAAAAUACCUUUGGGUGAAGCUUCCUCCAACUUGCGUCUCAAUUGUUUAGGAAUGAAACUAUAAUAAACACCUCCAACACUUUGUGGUAAUAGUCAAAGGCGUAUAAUUUGGUUCAAGACUAUAAGCCUUAAUCAAUUAGUAGCAAAAAUAUGGUUUCACACUAAUCCCAUGACGAGAAUAUUUGCGGUGAUAGUGAAAGGCGUGUAAUUUGGUUCAAGACUUCAAGCCUUAAAAGUGGAUCCAUGCAUACGACUAGAAGGGAAAUGGAAGAGGCAGGGAAAAGAGGUAAUUGGGAGCCGUCGACUCCGUUUAGUCCUCAGACUACUGUUUUAAUUUUUUUAUUUUUUAUUUUUACAACUUUAUUCUUUAAAAGGGUAAAAUGAAAACUUUGAAUUUUGCUAAGUAAUAACAGAUAAUUAAUUAAGUGCAAAUAGUAAAAAAAAUUAAUAUUAAGAAGAGGAGGGUUUGGAACUAUUUCAAUAAUUUGGAAAUUGAGAGUUUUAAACUCAGAAUGCAUGGGUAGAGAUCAAAUAACAUAUCCAAUAAGAUAUUUGAGCACAUGCAAGUGCAGAUAGUAAAUCCCAAGUCUUAUAGUGGUAAUAAUACCCUCUUUAGUAUUUGUUUUUCACUCUUUAGUUGACAAAAAAGAAUUUUUAUAGUAUCAAUAUAGAUAAACAUUUUUCUUCUAAUACAAUGCAUGAUUCAUUAAAAUUCACUGAGAAUAAAGGAAAGGAAAUAACCAUCUCAACCCACCCCCUCAGUUAGAAGUAUUCUAUAGAAAUUGUAUGUUUGUAUGUCAAUAUAUUUAGUUGCCAUGUGAAAUUGAUAGUGUGCGCGCUCACAUUGUAAAUCAUAUGUGCUGAUGUAGACAAUAAGAUGUGUGGUGAUCAGUUGCACUCAGUGGUACAAAGAUGAUCCUGGUUGGUAUAUAUGCGAUAGGGGAUCAUACGUAAGGGUGAUCAUGAUUGGUACAUCCGAGAUCGGUGAUCAUAAUUGGCUAAUUAUCAUAAUAAAACAAAUGUUUUGGGAGGUUUUGAAGGUUAUGGAAUGAGGAUGGAUGAGACAAAUUUGAACUUGUUACCUAUUUUGGAUACUCCUGAUUUGGUUGAUGGAUGAUUCUCCAUUGCUCACGUGUAGGAGACCCGGUACGCACCAAGGGUAAAUUUGUCAUCUUCACCCAAAAAUUCACGUGUCGCCUUAUGAUUAUUUUUGGCUCCACAGAUAUUAUGUUUGUAAAUUAGAGUUAUCAUGUUAUUGCUUGGAAUCCAGGUAGGGAAUUAUGGUGAGUUCCUUUAUUAAAUUGGUGAAAUGAUAUGUGAUUUUUUUGAUUGAUUAACGUAGUUAAAUGUUAAUAUUGUGCAUCUUUGAUUUGUUAGAUCGCUUAAUUGUUGUGAUUGUGGAUUGUGUUGGAAAAUAUUGUGAUAUAGGUGAAUGACAAUCUUGUUCACAUACGAUUUCAUUAUGUAGACGAAAAUCUAGCAAGGCAUACUCAAUUAUUGGUUCCCUAGUGUGAUUUUGGAACUCUACGUUCUUGCCAGUUAAUGCCUUGAGAAUUUUAGAGCUCAAAAGAGGGUGAAUUGCGAAUGGUUUGAUCCCGUUGUAAGAUAUAUAGAUAGUCUAACAUAGAUGUUCGAUGAUAAAGUACGCGGUGACGUCACUUGUCGAUCCUGGACGUAGCUCGGGAUCAGAGGGUGACAUAUAGACUCUUGCAUUUGAUCUCCCAUAAACGCUCAUGCACAUCACCAUCUAAAAAGGAAACAACCAUCUUCACCAUAUUCCUUUCCGGAAUUGGCUGUCUUAAAAAGUUUCUCUCAGUUGUAAAAAUUAGGAUACGAAUCGUUGUAUUGUUUGCAAGAGCACGAAGCUCAAACUAGGAAAUAUCAGAAUAGAAUUCUUUUUACUUUCUAAUUUAUUUAUGUUCAAUGACUUCAAUUAUUUCCCUAAAUCAAGAGUGUUUUGAUGAUUUCCCACUAAAUUAACAUAAAGGGCCAAUUUCCGCAUACGGCCAUGUUUCCCCGUACUUCAUCUAACUUUUUUUUUAAUUUCCGAAUUAAAUAUGCUUAGGAUCUCACAUAAUUAAAGGUGGAGAAAUUGACGUCCCUUUUUUGCAGACGGUAUAUACAAAGUUGUUUCUUUCAAUGAGCUUGGGGAGCUAUGGACUACAAAAAAUAGUGAUCAUAAUCUAAACAUACAAGAAGUCAAGAAGGUGGAGAAAUGGGCGCUGAUAAGGGGAACAUAAUAAUUUGCUCAGGCCGUCACUUGAAGACUUUAAGUCAAGUCAUCGUUUGAUAAGAUCAGCCCAUCGCCAUCACUUGAAGACAUGAAGACUCGUUCGACAAAAAAAGAAAAAAAGAAUUCUUGAAGACUUGGAGUCAAUUCAUCGUUUGCAUGUAAUAAUUAUUAUGUUCACCCUUGAACAAAAGGAAAAAAACCCAUCUCACUGUAAGAUUGAAAAUUUCUGUACUCAUAUCUAAAGUCAAAAUCUUAACAUAUACAAGUAAAAAUUUCACCGGUGUUCUAAGCUAGUUACAAAUACCAUACCAUUAUUCAUCCGACCCCCUUAAUUAUAUACUAAUCAGAAGGGGCUUAUGGGUGUUUCGAUCACCAAGGCACGUAACCUACAGAAAUAAAAGGAAAUGCAAAUAUGAUGAGGAGAGCUACUUUUCAGCAGAAAGAAGUAAAGGAAGAAGCCAAAGAAGGCGGCUGUGGAGAUAGUAUUUACGGCAAGUGAAACAUUCUAUAUAUCAUUAUCAGAAGCACGAUUUGAGAGUGAAUUAGUCAUUAAUUACUCUUGUUAUUGUUCUCCAAUAGGCUCUUUCAUGUUGCCACUCAAUUUUCAUUACGAAGAUGUAUUAUGUUAAGCUGAGUCCUCUCCGAACCGCAGGAGAUAGUUGCCUAUCAUGCAAAGUGACUUUUUGUUCUCACCAAUCUGUUCAUUUUCUUUCCACCAUUACUAGUCAUCCCCUAGCAAAGUUGUCUCCAAAAGGGAAGGAUUUGAUCAUGAUAUGAGAGAUAGAGAUGGAAAAGUACAUGAUUUUAUAGGCUAGGGUUUAAUAUUUUUAUUUUUCUAUAAUCAUCAAGAAAAAAAAGGUCAUUGGAUCAUCGUGGUUUAACUUGUUUUCUUUGAUACAUUCCAUAUUUUUAUGAAAAUAUCCAAAAAAUCAUAUAAAGUUAUGGAGAUGGGGGUGAAGUCUAAACUUCACUUUAUAUCAAGGAAACUCUUAAGUUUAGGAUAAAAUCGACAUAUAUCGUCGAUAUUUUGUAUACACCUGUUAAAUAUCGAAAAAAAAUCUCAUAUUUUGUCCAAAUCAAUGUUUAAGAAUUCCCAAUGUUUCAUUUUAAAUUUUCAUUACUUCCAUAGAAAGCAACCGAUAUUCAAUAUGUCCGUCGAUAUUUCCACAAAUUUUCUUAUUGAUAUUUUCAUGGUUACUGAUAUUGUAAACAUUGGUUUUAACAGAUACAACAAAAAUACCUUUGGUUGAAGCUUCCUCCAACUUGCGUCUCAAUUGUUCAGGAAUGAAACUAUAACAAACACCUCCAACACUUUGUGGUAAUAGUCAAAGGCGUAUAAUUUGGUUCAAGACUAUAAGCCUUAAUCAAUGAGUAGCAAAAAUAUGGUUUCACACUAAUCCCAUGACGAGAAUAUUUGCGGUGAUAGUGAAAGGCUAGUAAUUUGGUUCAAGACUUCAAGCCUUAAAAGUGGAUCCAUGCAUAUGACUAGAAGGGAGAUGGAAGAGGCGGGGAAAAGAGGUAAUUGGGAGCCGCCGACUCCGGUUAGACCUCAGACUACUGUUUUAAUUUUUUUUUUUACAACUUUAUUCUUUAAAAGGGUAAAAUGAAAACUUUGAAUUUUGCUAAGUAAUAACAGAUAAUUAAUUAAGUGCAAAUAGUAAAAAAAAUUUAGUAUUAAGAAGAGGAGGGUUUGGAACUAUUUCAAUAAUUUAGAAAUUGAGAGUUUUAAACUCAGAAUGCAUGGGUAGAGAUCAAAUACCAUAUCCAAUAGGAUAUUUGAGCACAAGCAAGUGCAGAUAGUAAAUCCCAAGUCUUAUAGUGGUAAUAAUACCCUCUUUAGUAUUUGUUUUUCACUCUUUAGUUGACAAAAAAGAAUUUUUAUAGUAUCAAUAUAGAUAAACAUUUUUCUUCUAAUACAAUGCAUGAUUCAUUAAAAUUCACUGAGAAUAAAGGAAAGGAAAUAACCAUCUCAACCCACCCCCUCAGUUAUAUACUAAAUAGAAGGGGAUCUUUGGUGUUUCAUUCACCACCACGGCAAGUGAAACACGACUCCACCUACAGAAAUAAAAUAAAAAAUUGCGAGUGUGAUGAAAAGUGACAACUUUUUUUCUUACCAAUUGAAACUUCAAAUUUUCUUUUUUUCAAGAUUUGAAACAUUUUAUUUUCUUUAUUUUUUUAUAGUUGAAAUUGACCCAUAUUUGGUCCUACAUCAGUCUCCUCCACUAGAAAAAUCUCACCCUUCAUCUUGAAAACAACUAGGGUUGAUAUGAAUCUUGAUGAGUCAAUAAUUUCUUCAAUUAGAGGAACCCAUUAUUCUUGGUAUUUAGUUGGAAUCACAAUGGCACCUUACUAUGAUAUACAUGUUUAUUGAGCUUCUAGUUGAUACGAAUGAUAUAUAUGAUUACUAGUAUGAAAAAUAUGAGCCUCGAACCUUAUUAGAAGUAUUCUAUAGAACUUGUAUGUUUGUAUGUCAAUAUAUUUAGUUGUCAUGUGAAAUUGAUAGUGUGUGCGCUCACAUUGUAAAUCAUAUGUGCUGAUGUAGACAAUAAGAUGUGUGGUGAUCGGUUGCACUCAGUGGUACAAAGAUGAUCCUGGUUGGUAUAUAUGCGAUAGGGGAUCAUACAUUUUCAAGGGUGAUCAUGAUUGAUACAUCCGAGAUGGGUGAUCACUGCUGCACGAUUAGACUACACAUAUGGUUUUGCUUGGUAAAUCUGCAAUGGGGGACCACAUACGCAUUCCAGGAGUGAUCAUGUGUUGGUAUAUCUACGAUGGGUGAUCACUACCUAAAGUUAGGAUGCGAUUCUGCUUGGCAUAUUCGUGAAGGGGCCCGUAAAUAUGAUAGUGAUCAUGCUUGGUAUAUCCGUGAUGGGUGAUCGCUGCCUGCACAAUUAGACUAUGCCUAUGGUUCUGCUUGGUGUAUCCGUAAUAAAGGAUCAUACGCAUUCUAGGAGUGAUCAUGUUUGGUAUAUCCGCGAUGGGUGAUCACUACCUAGAGUUAGGAUACGGUUCUGUUAGGUAUAUCCGCAAUGGGGGACCGUACAUAUAAUAGGGGUGAUCAUACUUGGUAUAUCUGUGAUGGGUGAUUUUUGCUUGCACUAUUAGACUAUGCCUAUGGUUUUGCUUCGUAUAUCUGCAAUGGGGGACCAUACGCAUUAUAGGAGUAACCAUGCUUGGUAUAUCCGCGAUUGGUGAUUACUACCUAGAGUUAGAAUUCGGUUCUGCUUGUUAUAUCCCCGAUUGAGGACCGUACAUAUGAUGGGGGUGAUCAUGCUUAGUGUAAUUGCAAUGGGUGAUCACUGCCUACCUAGGGUUGUGAGGAUUAGUUGUGCUGAUGCACAAAACCGGAGGUCUUGGAACAACGUAAAUCCGACCGUGAAUCUGCAAGAAAGUAAAUAACACAAGAUGUAUCGUGGUUCACCCCAAGAUUUGGGCUACGUCCACACUGAUAUUGUAUUCAUCUGAGAGGUGGGGGAGAGAAUGUGAGAGCCUCUGUAAUGAGAGUGAGGCUUUGAGAGGGGUAUGUUGGCCUCUUCUAAUUGUGAAGGUGAGGGAUCCUUUUAUAGAAUAAGGGCUCCUCAUUUAUUACAUAUUUGCCCCUCCAUUUAUUACAUAAUUACAUUGGAGUCCCCCGAGUAUUUAUACGAGGUCUAAAUACGGAGGCCCUAAGUAUGGUAUAAACAAGUUGUACUUGCUUAAUUUCGAUAGAUGACCAUAUUUUAGUUAGAUUCCGUUGAGUGGUCUGGAAUCCCAGUUCUUGUUUGUUUCCAUUAAGUUAGUCUGAAAACCUAGAUUCGAGUGCAUAAGAAUUGCUCACAGUGGAUAUUGUGGAUGCAAAUUUCCGCCUUCUUCUUCUUGGACAAAAUUGCACCUACAAAACAAUUAACACCUUAGGUCAAGGCCAAGAGGCUCACGCGCCCACGAUGAAUUAGGGGAGGGGGUUUUGGCCGAAGAACCUCCGAUGCCAAAGUUAGAAUUUAGAGAGAAAAGUAUUUGGAGAGUUUUUGGGAGUUUUGCAAGAGUAUGAAACUUAGCUUUUUAGAAGAAAUAGGGUCAUAUAUAUAGGGAAUGAGGUGUGGCCGGCCUUUAAGUGUGUUUUGGGGUGUUAUUUGGUGAUUCAAUUAGCAAUUAAUAUAUUAAUUAGGUAUAAAUAUAUUAAUUGGCUAAUUAUCAUAAUAAAACAAAUGUUUUGGGAGGUUUUGAAGGUUAUGGAAUGAGGAUGGAUGAGACAAAUUUGAAUUUGUUACCUAUUUUGGGUACUCCUAAUUUGGUUGAUGGAUGAUUCUCCACUGCUCGCGUGUAGGAGACCCGGUAUGCACCAAGGGUAAAUUUGUCAUCUUCACCCAAAAAUCCACGUGUCACCUUAUGAUUAUUUUUGGCUCCACAAAUAUUAUGUUUGUAAAUUAGAGUUAUCAUGUUAUUGCUUGGAAUUCAGGUAGGGAAUUAUGGUGAGUUCCUUUAUUAAAUUGGUGAAAUAAUAUGUGAUUUUUUUUUUUGAUUGAUUAACGUAGUUAAAUGUUAAUAUUGUGCAUCUUUGAUUUGUUAGAUCGCUUAAUUGUUGUGAUUGUGGAUUGUGUUGGAAAAUAUUGUGAUAUAGGUGAAUGACAAUCUUGUUCACAUAUGAUUUCAUUAUGUAGACGAAAAUCUAGCAAGGCAUACUCAAUUAUUGGUUCCCUUGUGUGAUUUUGGAACUCUAUGUUCUUGCCAGUUAAUGCCUUGAGACUUUUAGAGCUUAAAAGAAGGGUGAAUUACGAAUGGUUUGAUCCCGUUGUAGGGUAUAUAGGCAGUCUAACAUAGAUGUUCGAUGAUCAAGUACGUGGUGACAUCGCGUGUCAAUCUUGAACGUAGCUCGGGAUCAGAGGGUGACAUAUAGACUCUUGCAUUUGAUCCCCCAUAAACGCUCAUGCACAUCACCAUCUAAAAAGGAAACAACCAUCUUCACCAUAUUCCUUUCCGGAAUUGGCUGUGUCUUAAAAAGUUUCUCUCAGUUGUAAAAAAUAGGAUACGAAUCGUUGUAUUGUUUGCAAGAGCACGAAGCUCAAACUAGGAAAUAUCAGAAUAGAAUUAUUUUUACUUUCUAAUUUAUUUAUGUUCAAUGACCUCAAUUAUUUCCCUAAAUCAAGAGUGUUUUGAUGAUUUCCCACUAAAUUAACAUAAAGGGCCAAUUUCCGCAUACGGCCAUGUUACCCCAUACUUCAUCUAACUUUCUAUUGAAAAUGUCACAUUUCAAAAUUAAAAAAAAAAAAAAAAAGAAGACAAUAAUAAGAUUAAGAAAGGAAAUAUAACAAACACAAAAGGACAUUCAACGACCAACAUGUGACUUUUUGGGAUGGAAUUUGGGUAAAUUUGAAGCUAGGGAGAAAUUAUCUAUUCAUAGUAUUUUAGGGAAAAAAUUGGCCAAACCAAAACUUUAUGGGUAAUAUCGGCAAUGGGGUACAGGUUAAGGGGGGGAAUCGGCAAAUUACUCUUCUUAUAUGUAUAGAGAAACUGAACUCUAGUGAAGCUCUAGGUUAGUGUCAAUUGUGAUUAAUUGAAACAAUGGAAAGUAAAUAGAAGAAAACAUGGUGAUCAAAAUCUGCAAUGAGAGAAUAUCUCUUGAAAAUAUAUUUUUGAAGCACUACAUCCAACUAAAGGAAACGUAGAGAAGAUAAUAAAGCAACACUCUAAUUAAAUUUGGCUUGCCCGGUGUUCAGCAUAAUUAUAAGGUUAGUGUUCUGCAGUUCUACGUGGAUCUACUUAAAAAGCUUCCAGUAAAAUUGCUUUCUAGAGAAGCAUUUCCAAACGGACCAUAGAUGUACUAGUUUACAGGAUUUAAGCCAGUCAGUUAAGAGUUAGUUUUUACUCACCCCAUAACCCUUGUAUAGCUUACGCCCCUCUAGAUUGUGCCACAUGUUUAAAAGACAAAACACAAUUAGUCUAAUGCAUUUAAUUAUUUCUUACCAAUAAUUAAAGCAAUAAACUUACCAUUCAAAACCCCAUUGAGUGAGGUUUCAAAACAUAAUUCAUUAAAAUUACAUGCUGAAUGUUGUUGUUAAGGCCUUGCAAGGCAUGAUAGUGAUCGGAAUUGGGGCUCUUGACUUUAUAAUUGGUGAAGCUCUCUAUUCAUUCAGAAGCAGCAAUCUGUAAUGGAAAGAGAUCAAGAAUUUGCGUUGUUGAGCAAAUUUGACACCGUAUUCUAUAUACAAGCUCAGAGGUCGCACUUGGUGCGAUGGCAAGUGCCUUCGCCCAUGAGCGGUAGGUCUCGGGUUCGAGACUUGGAAGCAGCCUCUUCAUAAAUGGGGGUAAGGCUAGCCGACAUUCACCUCUCCCAGAUCUUGCGUAAAGCGGGAGCCUUGUGCACUGGGUACGACCUUUAUUCUAUAUACAAGCUCAAAGUAGCCACUCAUCGGCAUCCUAAUUUUGGGACGACAUAAAAAAUUCAUAUGAUCACCUAUCAAAUUUGCCCCACCUAGUCAGAAAUCAUAUUGCUAUUUAGCCUAAUGAAAAAGUUAGUUCACAUCGAAGACAACAAUCAAUACUUUUAUUUAUGAGACAAUGAUGCCCUAUUAAAUGGCGGCUCAGUUUACUCUCAAGGAUUGCUGAUUAAGUAAGCUCGAGAUGAACGGGUCUAAACUAGACAAGAAGAGUAAACUAUUCAAACUAUGCACAACAAGGAUAUGGUUAGUGCUUACAUGGAACUUUCUCUUCAGGUUGCUUUCGGUUGCACAACUCCGACAGCAGAUUAUAUACUUCAUGGCUUAGUGUUUGGAUCUUCCCCCGGGCUUGGCAAUGACCGAAGUGGAUGGUCGGAAGGGCAAAUCUUGUGAAGUUGCCAUUGCUCCACUGGCCCUGCCUUGACCUCUUCCUCUUGUCACAGUUUGCGAAGACGAAGGCAAUGCAGCAGAUCGCUGAGUGAACUCCAUUCGCCUUGAUCAUGGCAUGGCCUGACUACCUCUUCCUCUUCCUCCCCACACCUCAACCCUAACAACAAUAUCAAACUAAGCCUUAAGUUAACAAAGUAAAUUAUGCAUGUACGAUUUUCUCAGUUACUGCUCGAGAAGAGGAUGCAAAUUGAGUUUCAUCGCCUUUGCCUGUGACCCUCCCAUUUCCUCUGCCCAUUGGUCUAACUCUUCCUCUACCUCUUCCCCACUGAAUGAACAAGAAACGCUCGCUCGCUCUAAAUUUGGGUUGUGAUCAUGAAAUAAAUGAAACAAUAUGAAAGUGUACUGUACCACUAAAGAAAUGACACCCAAAACGUCCUCCUUAUCAACCUCCUCGCCACCAACAAUAUGCCUGACGGCAAUGCGGGCGGAGGAACUCGAAUUAUUCGAAUUCGAGAGGUGGCUGGCCACAAAGCGACUAUCAAUCAGAUCACGCCAGGACUCGUGGACGCAUUUGAACCGCAUCAGGGGAUUUAGGUGGCAAACUUGACAGGAUUUGGGCCACCAUAUUAUCCGACAAUUUGCAGGAAUUUGCCAUUAAUUAACUAAUUUAUGAAUAAUUUACUUGUCCUCCUCCUCUUCCUCCAUCUCUACUUUCCUUUAAUCUUGAGCAAAACAAACUGGAACGAUGAUCACUGAAACUGUUACCUUGAUUUUCCGAUAGCGUCGACAGCGUCGAGACCAGGAGGGCCCACUCAAAUUCCUCUCCGCGACACGAGCGACUGGGAAUCCUUCGUUUCCGAGCACUCCUCGGCUUCUUCCCUUCGUCCUUUCCGCUUGGCUCUGACGACUGUAGUCACUGCGCUUUAGUCCACGCCAGUCAACGCAUACUGACACUGACAAUGCUCUGUACUCUGUAGGGUUUCCCUUCGUUUCCAAACACUGGCCUUUUGCUGUUUGCCGCCGUAAGGCUCGCGCUUUCUGUUUUGUGUAAACGGGUUUGGGCCCAUUUUGGGUCGAGCAUUUGGGCUUUUACAAACUAAAAACAUUUGGAAGGUGUUUUUUCUUUUUUGGUCCGUCUCAAUAGUAUUCUGCUUAAGUGCUUUCCGAAUGGUUAAAAGCCCUUCAAAAAAUUAAAAGUGCUUCUUACAAUAUUUAGCGAAGAAAUAUUGUGUGUGCAGAUUACGAAUAUUAAUUUUUUCCUCCAAAGUAGGAGAUUUGAGUGUUUUCUUAAAGAAGCACAGGUUGAGUGCUUCUCGAAACAAGCAUUUGGAUUUUAAUUGACACACUUGUACCAAAAGCACUUCUAUUGAUUAAGAGAAGAUGUAAUUUCAAGUGAAGCGUCUAAGGGGCCUUCAAGUUGAGAACUUCUAUAACACGAGUACAUUGCUAUUGUAGCGUGCCUGCAUUUGAAGUUCUUCUGCAAACUAUAUCAGCCUGCAUAAGUACUCCAAAGUUAAACGUGUGCAUUUGAAGUUCUGCAAACUAUAUUAGCAUGCAGAAGUACUCCAGAGUUAAACGUGUGCAUUUGAAGUUUUUCUGCCAACUAUAUGAGCCUACAUAAGUACUCCAAAGUUAAACGUGUGCAUUUGAAGUUCUGCAAACUAUAUCAACAUGCAGAAGUACUCCAAAGUUAAACGCGUGCAUUUGAAGUUCUUCUGCCAACUAUAUCAGCCUGUAUAAGUACUCCAAAGUUAAAACGCAUGCAUUUGAAGUUCUUCUGCAAGUGUUAUCAGCAUGUGGAAGUAAGUCUUUUUAACUUUGGUUUCAUGAUUAUAUCCAUACAUUUUGAACAUAAAGAACAUCAUAUCAUGUAACAUAAAAAAAAUAUCAUAUAUCCAUUCAGAAGCCCGCUGAGUAGGUCGUCAAAACAUAAUUCCGCAAAGAGAAAUAAAUAAAGCAAUUAAAAGAGCUGCAAUCAUCAAGCAAAUUUGACACUUGAUGCCUCCAAAACAUCUACUCCUUUGUCAUAAAUCUGCAACCAUAUCCUACAUCAUAUCCUACAUACAAGUUCGGUAUCCUACUUCCGAGACAAACAUCAAAAAUUCAAUCCGCUAUCAAAUUUUCCUUCACCUAGUCAGCAAUCGUCUUCUGUUUAAAAGUAAUGAACGAUUCAAAAUUAAGUUCCACCUCAAAUACGAGACCAGUGGUAUAAGGACAGCACUGUACGAAACGAGAGGAGUGAUUAGUAUCUCAAACUAUGCACAAAAAGGAUGAAGUUAGUGCUGCUGCAAGAACAGAUCAUGUGGCUUUCAUUUGCUUGACUGGGAACUUCUCUUCAGCUUGCUUUUGCCACAUAUAGUUUGCAGCUUCAAUCCACUGUUUAUUAACUAAAAACUUCUUUUCUUUGACCGCCCAUUUAGACUUCUCUGUGCCAGCAUCUCCUGAAACCACAUGUGUCACCGAUGGGUCCACUUGUGUCGAACAAGAGGCUCCUAACUGCUCUGCCAUCUUCCAGAGAGGUUGAUUCUCAGCAUCGACAUUCGAAGGAAAUUCGUGGCUGAAAACAAUUUUACACCCCUUUAACACAUCCUUCUUAACAGUUUUCAACACCUACAAAAAUAGCAUCCAGAAGAAUCCAUAUUAAAUAUAUGAAGCUAAAGGAAAUAGUCAUGUUUUAGUGGUUCUGAAAAAACUUAUUCACCUGUCUCACAUCUCUUUCAACAAGAUUAUCCUCCAAUUCCUACAAGAUGGCCACCAACAAUAGAUUAGCAAACAAAGAAAAUGUAACUUUUUGCCAUCAUAUAGACAUAAAGUAGUACUUACAUGAAAGAACAUGUUGUGGACUCGCUUAAGAACUUCAAGAACAGUUGCAAGAGCUCCUUCAGGUUCACUUUCGUCACUUCUCAACUCAGAAAGGGAUUUACAGCGAAACCCAAAUUGUUUACAGCUUGAACUGAAGAAAUGAUAUCUUUCCAUCAAUAUUAAAUUGUCCUUGUGCUUUGUCCAGGCCUACAAUAAUGGAUAUCAACAUUGAUAACCCUUCAAAAGAUAAACAACAAAUUUAAAAGACCAUUAAACUGAUAACCAGGCAUCUGCAUCCAACAUAAAAUUAGGAUAAAUAAAGAUUUCUCUGGAAGCAUACAUAUCUGUUAAGAGAUAAUCAAUGGGGUAACUAUACAACAACAACAACAACAACAAAGCCUUUUCCCACUAAGUGGGGUCGGCUAUAUGAAUCCUAGAACACCAUUGCGCUCAUUUGUGUCAUGUCCUCCGUUAGAUCCAAGUACUCAAGUCUUUUUUUAGGGUCUCUUCCAAAAUUUUCCUAGGUCUUCCUCUACUCCUUCGGCCCCGAACCUCUGUCCCGUAGUCACAUUUUCGAACCGGAGCGUCAGUAGGUCUUCUUUGCACAUGUCCAAACCACCGGAACCGAUUUUCUCUCAUAUUUCCUUCAAUUUUGGCUACUCCUACUUUACCUCGGAUAUCCUAAUUCUCAAUCUUAUCCUUUCUCGUGUGCCCAUACAUCCCACGAAGCAUCCUCAUCUCCGCUACACCCAUUUUGUGUACGUUGAUGCUUCACCGCCCAACAUUCUGUGCCAUACAACAUCGUUGGCCUUAUUGCCCUCCUAUAAAAUUUUCCCUAGAGCUUCAGUGGCCUACGACGGUCAUACAACACGCCGGAUGCACUCUUACACUUCAUCCAUCCAACUUGUAUUCUAUGGUUGAGAUCUCCAUCUAAUUCUCCAUUCUCUUGCAAGAUAGAUCCUAGGUAGCGAAAACGGUCACUUUUUUUAAUCUUCGCUAGAUUGCUCCGGUCAUUAGAGUGGAUAAGUAUAUAAAUGGAUAGAGAUAGGAAAGCAAACACAAGAUGUACGUGGUUCACCCAGAUUGGCUACGUCCACGGAAUAGAGGAGUUCUCAUUAAUUGUGAAGGGUUUACACAAGUACAUAGGUUCAAGCUCUCCUUUAGUGAGUACAAGUGAAUGAUUUAGUACAAAUGACAUUAGGAAAUAUUGUGGGAGAAUGAUCUCGUAGCCACGAAACUUCUAAGUACCGGAGUGUGGUAUCGUAUUGACUUGCCUUAUCUGUCUCAUAGGUAGAUGUGGCAUCUUCUCUGGAAGUACUCUUCCUCCAUCCAGGGGUGGUAUCUGUAACUGGUGGAGAUGCACAAGGUAAUGUAUCAAUUUCACUUUAAGCUUACUUGUAGUUUCAUGCUUGGUCAAGCGAGAUACAAACCAUGUAGUAGGAGUCCCCCAAGUCGCCGAGCUGGGGGAUCUGCUGAAAGAGAUGACAGACAAGGUAAGCAAUCAGAGCUCCGGCUGAUUGUUCACAUUCUCCCUAUCUUGUAGGUAGCAUGAAUGAUAAAGAGAAGAAAAAUGAGGAGAGAUGAUAUAGGAUACUUUUGCUUUUGAAGAAGUAACUUUCCACAGGCUUAUUCUUGAACUGGGCUGGAGGGUUUUUUGGUAUCCUUCAGAGUAUAAGGCCGACUAAAGAAUUUGAGGGUCAAAACAAGUCCAUCAAAUCUAGAGUACGUUCGACCCUGCUGAUAUGGGAUACUUUUGCUUUUGAUAGAGUAGUGGAUGUAUCGGCACGUGUGCUGUUACGCUUGUCUCCACAUGCUUCCUUGUAUCCUUCUCACUUGCCCUAUCUGUUCCUCAGGCAGAUGCGGUAUCUUCCCUGGAAGCAUAAGAUGUUGAAGAUGAGUACUCGAGAGCAAUGCCAGGUAAGUAAUCAGGUAAGGGGUUCCAGGCAGUCAGUUCCUGGCUGGAAGCUUGAUUCCAAGUGCUGACUGAUUGCUCUCUUUCUCCUUGUCUUGCAGGUAAGGACAAGGCCAAAGGAAAAGACAAGGAAAAAGCAUGAUAUGGGAUACUCUUGCUUUUAACCCUGAUGAUAUGAGAUAUUCUUGCUCUAGUAUAGCUUGUUUACAGAGGUAUUAUCGGGGGGAAAGAAAGCUGAAUAUUUCGAAAGGCUUUGUUGGGAGUGCCCUCUCAGAUAAGAGAAAGGGUUGAGCAUUUUUGCAGGUCUGCCUGUCCGUUAAGGAUGGAAGUCGACAUAUAUAGGAGUCUCCCUAACAUCAAGUAAUAAUGCUAUUCCUUUACCCCGCUUGGUUAUAGCACGGUAGUGGGAGCUGCCAGCUUCACAUGUUUUAACUCUGUCAGAGCACUUUGAAAAAGUGGUUUGUGGUAUCUGGAAAGCUGAUGUUGCGUGUGAAGAUUACAGACCUGUCGGGGGUCUGGCUCUCGAGAUUCGGAGAACGAUGCCUCUUCGAUUUUUGAGAAAGCAAUCCUGCUGGGGGUCUGGCUCUCGAGAUUCGGAGAGCAGUGUCUCUUCGAUUUUUGAGAAAGUAAUCAUGUUGGGAGUCUGGCUCUCGAGAUUCAAAGGGCCGUGCCUCUUCGAUUUUGGAGCAAGCAAUCUUGUUGGGAGUGUUUUCUCGAAUGUGAGUAAAGGUUGGGCAUGUUUGCUAAUCUACCUUGCCACGAAGCACAGAGGUUGACACACAGGGACUUUCCAAUUAUCCAGCAGUGGUACUGUUCCUUUACCCUCUCUUCGAUUUUGAGAAAGUAAUCAUGUUGGGAGUCUGGCUCUCGAGAUUCGGAGGGCGGUGCCUCUUCGAUUUUGGAGCAAGCAAUCUUGUUGGGAGUGUUUUCUCGAAUGUGAGUAAAGGUUGGGCAUGUUUGCUAGUCUACCUUGCCACGAAGCACAAAGGUUGACACACAGGGACUUUCCAAUUAUCCAGCAGUGGUACUGUUCCUUUACCCUCUCUUCGAUUUUUGAGAAAGUAAUCAUGUUGGGAGUCUGGCUCUAGAGAUUCGGAGGGCGGUGCCUCUUCGAUUUUGGAGCAAGCAAUCUUGUUAGGAGUGUUUUCUCGAAUGUGAGUAAAGGUUGGGCAUGUUUGCUAGUCUACCUUGCCACGAAGCACAGAGGUUGACACACCGGGACUUUCCAAUUAUCCAGCAAUGGUACUGUUCCAAUUAUCCACGAAGCACAGAGGCUAGACCUUCAAAAUUUAUGUGUCUAAACUUUGUUAGUGUUGUUUCUUUGCAAUUCUUUUACCCUUCUUGGUCAGAGCGAUGUAGUGGGAGCUGCAAGCUCACGUGUCUCAACUUUGUCAGAGAACUUUGGCAAAGUUAUCUGUGGUACCCAUGAGCUACUGUUGCGUGUGGGAAGUGGGUGAUUGAACAGUACGAUUCAUGUGCUUUCUACUUCGCCAGAAAUCUUCGACAGAAUGCCCAUAGUUUCCGCAAAGCUGAGUGUGCGUGUGACAGGUGCUGACAAGGCUAGAAAAGUAGGUGCCUCUUCGAUUUCUGAAAUCGACCCUCGUGGUCUCUGAGCAGCCCAGCUUUUGAGAAAGCAAGCCUCUUCGAUUUCUGAGAUCGGCCUUUGUGGUCUUUGAGCAGCCCAGAUUUUGAGAAAGCAAACACCUCUUCGAUUUCUGAGAUCGACCCUCGUGGUCUCUGAGCAGCCCAGCUUUUGAGAAAGCAAACGCCUCUUCAAUUUCUAAGCAGGCGCCUCUUCGAUUUCUGAAGCUUCGUCGAGUGCAGAUUUUUAUAGGGGCUGACAUUAAGUUCCAAAGCACACUUGAAUAUCCACCAGUAGAAGCUCCAUUCUUGCACUUCUAAGAUCUUGAUUUGUCCGACCUCUUCUCUCUUCAACACCUUUGAAAAAUGUCUGGCCCUCCGACCGUCGUUUUGACUUGAACCUUGUUGAAGAGGCAGCCCCGCCUUCUCCAGACAACAUAUGGCGCCCAUCCUUCGUCUCCCCUACUGGUCCUCUUACCGUUGGGGAUUCCGUGAUGAAGAAUGAUAUGACCGCUACGGUAGUGGCCAGGAACCUUCUCUCCCAAAGAUAACAGACUACUUUCCAAACGGUCUGAUGAGUUGUCUGUUAAGGAUUCUCUGGCUCUCAGUGUUCAGUGUGCAGGUUCUGUAUCUAAUAUGGCCCAACGCCUAUUUGCUCGAACCCGCCAAGUUGAAUCAUUGGCGGCUGAAGUGAUGAGUCUCAAACAGGAGAUUAGAGGGCUCAAGCAUGAGAAUAAACAGUUGCACCGGCUCGCACAUGACUAUGCUACAAACAUGAAGAGGAAGCUUGACCAGAUGAAGGAAUCUGAUGGUCAGGUUUUACUUGAUCAUCAGAGAUUUGUGGGUUUGUUCCAAAGGCAUUUAUUGCCUUCGUCUUCUGGGGCUGUACCGCGUAAUGAAGCUCCAAAUGAUCAAUCUCUGAUGCCUCUUCCUUCUAGGGUUUUGUCCAGUACUGAGGCUCCGAAUGAUCCCCCUCCGGUGCCUUCUCUUUCUGGGGCUCUACCGACUGCUGAGACUUCUCCUAAGCAACCUUUGUGAAGGCUCCCUCUUGUUUGUUUAUUUUGACUCGAGUAUAUGUACAUAUUUGUAACUUAUCGGGGAUAUCAAUAAAUAAGCUUUCCUUCAUUUCAACGUAUUGUGUUAAAUACACCAAAGUCUUCUUCGCUAAGUUCUUUGAAUUUUCUUUUGUUGAAGCUUGUAUGUUGAAGCUUUGUGAGUGGAGCAUAUAGGUUGAGGUAGUGUUCCCUUAAUUUCCCGAGUGAGGAAAACUUCUCGGUUGGAGACUUGGAAAAUCCAAGUCACUAGGUGGGAUCGGCUAUAUGAAUCUUAGAACGCCAUUGUGUUCUGUCCUGUGUCAUGUCCUCCGUCAAGGGCAGUUUUAUUUAGACUCUAAAACUUCCUCAGUUGGCUCCCUUAAUUAGUGCUAUGACAACAGCUUCAAACAGAUCUCAUCAAGGACAGUUUUAUUUAGACUCUAAAACUUCCUCAAUUGGCUCCCUAAAUUUUAUUUUAAAGUAUCAGGAAAUCCUUGAUUGAUUGGCAUGAAAUUGCUAACCUAAAUCUUCUAGACCUAACAAAUAAAAGUGAGACUUAAAAUUACCGCAAAGUGGAAACCAUAGGGGUGCAACUUUGGGAUUAAAAGGUCGUACCCAGUGCACAAGGCUCCCGCUUUACGCAGGGUCUGGGAGAGGUGAAUGUCGGCUAGCCUUACCCCCAUUUAUGGAGAGGCUGCUCCCAAGUCUCGAACCCGAGACCUACCGCUCAUGGGCGAAGGCACUUGCCAUCACACCUAGUGCGACAACUUUGGGAUUACAUUAAUCAAAUUAACAAAAUAAUAAAAAGGUUUAGGUGGUUAUGAAUGAACUUCUAAUUUUCAGUAUCAUUAGGGGAAAAGAAGUACUUACAUUUUCUGUAUCGUCAAGGAUCACAACUGCAUUAUCUUGUCCAAGCACAAUAUCUAGACCUUUUUGAUGUUUUUGGGUACCAUCAUCACGUGAUAUAACCCUAUCCCCAAAGUACUCUUUCCUCGGAUCAAGCAGCCUAGCCAUUUCCAGCGCAUAAGCUCGUUCGCCCAUUGUGUAUAUGUACAUCUCGAACAUUUCACUGGCCUCUUUUAAAAAUGUCCUAACAAAGGGCCUCAACUUGGUCAUCAUAUGCAUAAUGUCUACUCUGAAUAGGCUACCUUUUGAAACAUCUACAAGUAUCAUAUUGGAACCAGAGUUAGAAGAUGUAAGUAAUUGGGCAAAAAUAAUAAGAGGAUGCAAAGGCAUGUACACAUGAUAAGACGUUCAAUGAAUUAAAACAAAUAAAACCUAAUCAACCUUGUUUUAAGCCAGAAACAUGUUACCAGAAGCAAACAAACAACUUUGUAACUGAUUAAAAGUAGAAACCUUUCUCUAGUUAGCAAAAUUUCAACAGGAACAACAUAUGUAUUUGUAAGGUAGGAAAUAUUCUUCUAAAUUACUUACUUUGAAGAUGUAUAACAGGAGAGAGUACAACAGCCCACAAAGAAAGAUGUAUACACUAAAAUUGAAUCGCUAAAUAUGUUACAAAAGCAAAAACACAAGAAGGGAAAACAUCACAUACCUUGCAGAGAAUCUAUUUGACUAUGUAAAUAUUCCUCUUCGGACAUAUGAUUCAGAUGGGUAGAAUUAAGCAGUGUGUGAUCUAGAUCAAGGACCAAGUAAAGCUUCUUAUGGUGCAACGACUUCUUAAUGUCUGUUUUGCGUAACCGGUCAAUUUCAUCAUUAUUAAGCCUUAAUCCCUGCAAUAGAUACCAAUAGAUUAGGUAGUUAUUCCACAUAUUACGAGCAAAUGGAUACAUGAAAACAGUUGACUUUCUUUUUAAGAAUAAGUUUAUAUUUUACAUUAGGGAUCAGUAAUUUCUGAAUUACAAGUUAAAGGUGACUGGAGUUGAAUAAUGCCUCCAAAAUUUAUUGUAUGCAUGUAUGCUACCAAUAUUUAAGUAAAGACAUACAAAUUCUUCUAUCCACCUCCACCAACCAGUCAUCUAAAGGCGUACCUUGUGUAUGUACCCAAAUAUCACACUAGACUUGUCAUCCACCGGCUGCCCACAGACGAUACACAUAUCUCCAAAUGAACCAGGAUGAGUACAAAUGUCCUCCUUCAUGGAUGCUUCUGCAUAUGGUAACACGAUGAAUACAACAUUUUGCAUUCAAGAGAAAAAAAAACAAGAUUUGCACAUAUAUCCUUUGAGAUUUGAGCAGAAACGUUUUCUAUGAUGGAGGACAUUCCAAGAAACUGAUCAUUUCCUUAGUGUCUGUCCAGUUAAUUUUACGAAAAAGACAAGAAAACCUUUUCAUCCCUUAUAUUGAGUUAAAACUAUAACUAAACACUGAGGAGAAAAUAUGUUCAAGGAAGUAUUAAACUCCAUAAUGACUACAUCUAACUCUUCAGCUUUCAUCAAUCUAAAAAGUGAGACAAACAGACCAAAAGCCAGAUAUACAAAGUUAGAAAGAAAAGAAAAGAAGCCCAAUUAUAAGUCUACAGAAGGAGGUCUUGCUACUAACAAAGUUGCUCAUUAUUAGAAACGUUUCUCGCAGAGCAGAGUUGGAAGGGAACAACACGUAACAAACCAAUCCAAAACACUAUCCAACUGAGUCAAAAUAGUUACCUGAGAGUUCUUCUACGAAAAUUUCUGAAGUCGACCCAGGAAUCUCCUCAGUGCUUCCAAACUCUACCUUACGCCUCUUUGCACUGCACGGUAAUUCACAAGUUGUAUGUUAAAACCUUUGAACAUACCCAACAGUUUUAUAGAAUCUCUGAUAUCUAAUAAAAACUCAUACACAUUAAACAUAAAAGAACAACGAAUUUAGCACCUAUUACUAUCAAUCUCGACGUCACUGUCAUCAUCAGCUUCUUCAUCCGGUGAUGACCCCGGAGAACCAGAAUCCAGGGCACUCUCAAGAAACCCGACAAAGUCGUCACUGCUAGACGAGUGUAGUGGUGAAUCGGCAAUACUCAUCUAAAUUAAUUCACGCCAAAAGAAAACCCCUUAGCAUAUUUAAAUUAACAUAAAACAUAAAAAAUUCUAAGAGCACGAAUCGGAAUAUUAAACCCUUCCUCAACUCCCUCGCAGCUCAUUAAUAAUUAUUAGCCAAUAAACAACAAUAAUCGCCGGAAUAAGCAUCCGCAUUAUGAUUUAUGAGUACCCAAAUCAUCGAACAAGAAAAUUUGUAAAACCAAAACAUUGAUAGAACAAGUGAUUAGAAAGCAGCUAAAUAAUUUCUUCCCCGAAAUUAGGGUUUAUGAAAAAAAUCAGGCUUAGAAAAUUUAAAGAAACGAGAAGUAACCAAGUAGCGAACAUACCGCGACGAAGAAUUCAAAUUUGGGUGCGAGAACGAAAGCUUGGCCAAAGUGUUGGAUGAUGCGUUGGUGACAAAACUAUACAAUCAAUUUAUUGAAAGAAAAUUGCAAGAAAAAUAAGAGAGAAACCCAACAACUACAGAGAGAGAAGAAGAAGAAGGAGAAGGAAGAAAACCUGGGAUUGCGAUGGCAACGGGAGUGAGGUUGCAGAUCGACGCGUGAGAGAGGGAGACAGAGAGAGCGAGACGAAACACCCGACUAAUACAUUCUUAGGUACAGUAUUGUAUAGUCACUUUUUUAUUUUGGAUUAUAUUUUGCCUUGUCCGAAGGGGUCACUUAUUCGGAAAAGGAUCAUCCGUGAUCUCACUCGUUCAUUAUAUAUCUUGCGAUUAGUUUUCGUUAAGUACUAUUUAUAUUUAUUUUAAAUUUUAAAUUUUAAAAUGAUUUCUAACUGCACGAUGAAUGGGUGAGAUCACGAGAUUCCUAAGAUCCCUAGGAAAAUGAUCAUCCUUUUCCCACUUAUUCAACCACGAGUUGGUGAUCCAUUGGUAAAAGGUGGAUUACAAGGUUUCUUUACAACUAAAAACUGAAGGUCUCAGUUGGAAACGUGGAAGCCAGACAUGUGGUUAGGGAAUGCUGAAAUGCCUAUAUGAGUCUUCUCGGCCCCCGAAAAGAGUGUCGUAACUUAUCACCAGUUGUGCCUCUUAAAAAAAAAAAAAAAAAAAAAAGAGGUCACUUAUUAUUGUUUUUGUAAUUCAAAACAAAAUUAAUUAACAUAUUAUUAUUAAUUAUUUUUUAAAAUAAUAAUAUAUGUAUUAAAAUAUCAUUGAUUCGAUAUUAAAGUGGGUAUUAUCGGACUAAUAUUACUCUUUUGGAAGAUAAAUUGGUAGGUUACACUGUAUAAAACAAUAUGGGGACCCAAUUUAAUUAAUAGGAGUACUAUUUAGUACAUUACUGCAUCAAACAUCAAAAUUCUAUUAUUUAUUCCAAACAAUUAAAUAUUUUAAAGAAAACUAAUGAAAAGGAUUUGAAAACUUUAAAUCUUAAUCAAAAUAACAAAAAAAUGUUGUAAAUGAAUAAUACCAGGAACGACUUUUCAGAGUAAAAAUAUCAUUAACGUUAAAAGUGAAUAGUACCAUAAGUGUUUCAUUAAGACUUCCAAAAUUUUAAAAAACGCUACAGAUGGGGCAUAAACUUUAACAUCUAACAUGAAUUUUUAGAACAAUAAUUUGAUCCUUUAUACGAGCUGCCAAAUGAGGCUUAAGAUUUUCUUGGUACACUAACCGGGGAAGUUAUUAAAGGUCAAGUUAGGCUCCAAUAUGCACAAAUUGCAACUUUUACACAUAAUCUUCGAUAUAAAAAUAGGGUUUCCAUUGCAAAUAACUCAUGUACUAUUUCGAACUCCUUAUUUGGAAUUGAAAUUCCGCUUAUAUAAGGAAAAAGAUUUCUAUUCUAAAUUCCUCACAUCAUUCGAAAUUGAAAUACCACUUAUAUCUAGAGAGUCUAAUUCCUCUACAAUGAGAAAUAGAAUUCUAAAAUUCGUGCGAAUCCCAUCACUUUUUUUAUUCACCAAUAUUUAAUAAACAUUAAAACACUCCGUAAUCAUAAUUUAAUUCUUCUUUUUUAUUCCGAUUACCAGUGCGUAAACAUGUCAUAAAUAAAGUAAUUAUUGGUCACGAACUAGGACUACGAAUUGUCCCUAAUCAAAGGUAUUUAACUAUUUACAUUAAAUGAGGAAAACAUUCUUUUGUUUGGUAAUAUCCACAUGCCCUUGUUUAUGUCCUCCUUGUUGCCAGGUUUCCUGAGCUCCUCCUCCUCCGGCAGCGGCAUCAUCUGAUUCUUCCGCCCACUCCGCCACCAAUUUCUGCCGAUAGUACCGGAAGGCCACGACCAAUAUAAAUGCUGCAAAAACAUUGCUCGAUCUCGUAAUUAUAUCGUGAACAAUUGCUCACUACUAUUCCCUCUCUCCCCUAUUUCCAAAUUUUCCCAUUCUAGGUAAACAUACUUGAAGCUCUACUUUAUUACUAUUUUUCUCGUUUUCUUUGGAGAAAUUCUUCAGUUCGGACACAGACGCUAGACACAUAAGACCGAAGUGAGUGGUAACAAAAUACACGGGAUGGGGUUUGUGUGGGCGGUUGAAUAGCCUCCGGUUGUCUACACUCAAGAAUUUCUCCUUUAUUUUAGCGGUAGAAUGUUUUGCCAAAUUACCAUACUAAGGUUGUGCCAAAAAAUUUGUACCAUUGGUAAUGGUACGAUACAAACCGUACCAUACAUUUUUGGUACGGUAAUUGUAUUCAAAAUUAUUAUCAAUAAUAUAUCGUACCGUACCACUACUAUUAAUAUUAUAUCUUUUAUAUAGAAUUAGGUAUUAUUAUCAUUAUAUAUGCACUUUAUAUAUUUUUCCUAGUCAUUUAUCCAAUCAUCUCACCAUCUAACCUCUACUUUCUCAAUAAAAAAACAUAAGUCUUCUUGCGCUGCAACUCUUCAUAUUUUCACUCAUCUAACCACCGAUUUCAUCUCUGUUGCUCCAGUUCCGACUCUCUCUCCAUAGUCCAUUUCAUCUUCUCCUCCAUCAAAUUGGGAUGUCUUUCUCCCUGGCUUCAUCUAUUAAGUUAAUUUUUGUACAAUUUUAAAGAAUGUAGAGAUAGAAUUUAGGAAUCUUUGUACUAUUUUUUUAUGGAUAUUGAAUUCUUUCAGCAAUUCUUGCAUCUAAUUACUUCUUGUUUCUUAAAUGAAUUUCUAUAAAAUUUUCAUAAUUAAAUAAAAAGUUUUAUAAACCCAAAGGGAGUGGCGAAAACACUUUUAGGCCUUGAAUUGGGUUGAAAAAAAAAUAUCAAAUUUUGGCCCAAAACAAAGUGGUAAUUACCAUUAUCAUACCAUGCUAACCAAACUAUUUGGCAUACCGAAAGUUCGAUACGGUAAUGGUAAUAGAUUUUAUCAUACAAAAAACUUUGGUAUAGUAAUUGGUACAUGAAUUUUGAUACGGUAAUCGUACCAAUACCACCACUAAGUCCAUUUAACUUAGAAAAGUAGAAUAAACAUAUUUAGUAAAGCUGUACAAAGAAAAAAGGACCACUACUAUAACGUUAUUUUCAGGCGGUCCUCCCUUUGAUCCAAAUCCAAAAGCAACAUCUACAUCUCUCUAUUAUUUUGUAGCUUUUUUUUCCUCCAUGCAGCUGUUUCAAGUGCUCAAUUGAUGCUUCAAUUCUUAGGGUUUAUUCCAUUUUUUUUCAAACCAUUGAGAAGAUAUGGUCCUUCAAAGCCGCCUCCUAAUUUCCGUUCCUUGAUGUUAACUUAAGGAAAUGAAAACUCCAUCCAUAGAUGCAUAACACAUUUAUUAAGAAAGAAGCAAACUCCACCCUAUAUUUCACGAGAACAUCGGUCAUAUCACCAAUCAUGUACACAACCAUGUACACAACCUGUAACACCCCGAGGAAAUCAGUCAUAUCACAGUUGCAUACAACCAGUAGCACACAAGAAAAUCGGUCAUAUCACCGGUCAUGUACACAAACAUAUAUACAACAGGUAACAACCCGAGGAAAUCAGUCAUAUCACAGUUGUAUACAACUGGUAGCACACGAGAAAAUCGAUCAAAUCACCGGUCAUGUACACAACCAUGUAUACAACAGGUAACACCCCGAGGAAAUCUGUCAUAUCACAGUUGUAUACAACUGGUAGCACCCAAGAAUCGCUCGGCUUUACAAUAUAUGACUUGAAGUAGCAGGAAAGGAAAUAUCUCACUAAAUCAUGACACAAGUAAAACUCGAACAUUCGAUAAUCACAACUCAAAGGCGAAAGUAGAUAUAUGUAAACUUAAUUAUAUGUACAUUAGUAAAAAUGUUGGUCUCUGAGACUGAUGGACAUAUUAUCACGGUUUUAACUCGCACAUAACAUAGCAUAACAACACUAUGGCAGGCGAUGCAUUCUUGUCAAAUACCUGUACAUUAAACGCUGUACAUGACAUUCAUCGCGAUUUUCUUGCUUUGUAAACACUUCACCAGAAGCAGGGUGCGUCCUCCUCGGGCAUGAAAGGAGUCCUACAAAGAGGGCAUGUAAUGUUCCAGUAAUUCAACCACUUCUCUAAGCAAUUUUGAUGGAAAAUAUGGCCGCAGGACAAGUGGUUGAUCUUCGAUUCAGGUUCAAACUCGGUUAGGCAGACUGAGCAUUCGUGCUCCCGCUGCUUGAAGCUACACACAGAUUCGAACUGAAUUGCUGGGAUACUGCUCCUGAUCUCCUCAAUGUAACUAGCCGAGGGACUGACAUGAAACUCAAAUGAUUCUGAGAGGUUUUCAGAGGAGUCUGCUAACGGCGGGGAAGAUGAUGAGAGACGGAUACCAACUAAUUGCAGGACUGAUCGGAUUAUCCCCUUGAUGAUGGAGACUGAUAAGGCAGUGUUUACUAAAAGCACACAUAGAACACCUUCUGAUGGAGCUGGUAGACUAGAGAGACCCAUGUGAUCAAAACACAAGUUCAACUGGCUCGAAUCGGAUUGCCAAGAUUGUUGAGGGGCAGUGGAACCAGAUUGAACCGGCAGAGACGCGAAACGGGAGACAGAUUAUUAUAUCAAUUUGAUGAGUAAGAGUUUAGUCAAAUGGAGAUGAAAAUGUCACCGAAAUCUUCGUGUUACCCGACCUGCAAUGCAAUCAAGGAAAGUAUUAGAAUUUAUAUAAAGAAGAUUGAACCAUGAUAUCGAAUUAUCGAUAUCAAGCAGACCCUUCAGCAUAAAAAGCUUAAAAUUUCGCAGCGAAAUUAUGAUUUAACACAAUGAUUAUUUGAUCGAAGCGAUUUCAUAUUCUGUUCAAGAGAAUUAACAAAACCGUUCUGCAGCAAUAACUAAGCUUUAUACCCUAGACUUUACAGAGAGCAGAACCAAUUAUUUCCUCAAACCCAACAGAGUUCUUAAAAACUCAGAAGAUCAUACCAAAUGGAAGAAAAGACACAUAAAGCAAGCAACUUGAUCUCACCCCACAACCCAAUUUCCUAAACCCAACAUACCCGGCAACCAAAUGUAUCAUACGAUGACUUAAGAUCUAGAAUUCUUCAAAUUAAUCCUCCAAAAACCAUUAAAAAUGCAUUCUUUUGAUUACUAAACAGAAAAAACAAACAAUUUGGAAAAAAAAGCCCAGAAAAUAAAAAUGAAUAAAUAAGCAGAAAAUAAAAGUCUACAGCUUCAAAAAUGGCUGAGAAUUUAGACUUACACAGAGUGAGGCUUUUGGAGCUUCAAGCUUUUGGCCCUGAUAGAAACCGAGUAACAUCCAGAGGAGCUGAAGGAAGAAGAAGAAGAGAUUCUAGGGAUUAUAGGCAGCAGUCAUACACAUACAAAUACAAUCAGGAUAAAUAUAUAUACAGUUUUUGUUUGACAAUGGCUGCUCUGCAUAACCAGUUCUCCCUAUAUUUAUAGCAAGAGAGCCACCGCACACCAAGGAUUAGCGGCAACUUAACCAAGGUUCUCUAACCGUGGUUACUUUAUUUCAACAUCCCCCUCCCGUUUACAGGGCUUUUUAACCUGUUUUUCAAGCCCUUCUUCCGUCUUUUGCGGACUCCAUUUUUCUGUUAACCAUGGUUACUUUAUAUCAACAUCCCCUUCUUCUGUUUACAGGCUUUUUAUAACCUGCUUUUCAUCCCAUUUUCAUAUCUCAGCUUUCAUGUCUUUUUUUGGUAAACAUUCUCUAGUUUUACUUGCCAAAUUUAUCUUCAUGGAGCUUUGUGUUCGAUUUACAAGUUCAAAUCUUCUAGGUCAAAAAUCUUUUCUGGCUAUUUGGGUUUAUUUAUUUGAGUAAUACGUUUCUUUUUUAUUUAAUUUAUCUUUAGUUUUUAAAUUUUUUUUAGGAAAUAAGUUAAGAGUUAAUAUUAUUAUUUGUGGUUUAAGAAGUAGGAUUCUCUCCCCUCCUAGUCUUCUUCUCUUUCCCUCCCCUAUUAUUUGAAUGGUUACAAUUAAGUCACGCCAACGUUUUAUGUUAAUUUUUUAAUAAGCAAAAUAAGAAAAAAAAACAAUUUGUGAGAGGAGGGGAUGGAAGAUGAUAAGAAUAGAAGGGGAGAGAAUCAUACUCCGUGGUUUAAAUAAAGGGUGGUGCUUUUGUUUAAAAAAAAAAAAGGUGGUGCUAUCCAAGCAGCCCAGUUUACUUUCUACAUAUUACUCUCAAUUCUGGCCACCAGAUCGAAUGACUUAAAGAAUAUCAAAGGAUAAAAAUGGCUUUUUGGCUAAAAUUAUCCUUGAGAUUUACAUAAUUCCUCAUUUUCAUCCCUAAGAUUUGAAAUUAAUAGAAUUGGUUCCUGAGUUUUUCCACCAUCAAUCAUUUUGGUCAUUCCUUGAAAAAUCUCCAUUAAAUAAGAAUAUAAUGACCAAAAUACCCUUAAUUUUUGUCAAAUCAUUUUAGACACGUUGUUUAUUAAAUUGAUGGUAUAUUUAUCAUUUUGAUCCCUAUUUAACAUAAUUUUGCACGAAAUGACCAAGAUGAUUAAUGAUGGACAAUCUUAUGAACCAUUUCUAUUGAUUCCAAAUCUCAUAGAUCAAAGUGAUGUGUUAUGCAAAACUCAUAAACCAUUUUAACUAAAAAACCCGAUAAAAAUUAACAAGGGCCCUUUACACUUCUUUCAACAACAACAUAAGUCAUGGAAAGGCAACAGAGAAUUUGAGUGCAGAAAAUUUGAACUCUCAAUUUACCUACCUAGUAUCACAUGACAAGAUUUUAAUGCAAAGACGACGUCAUGGAAAAUUUACUUGGCUAAAGGGUGUGAUUUUAUUAACAGCAUUAAGAAUUAUUGAGAUACAUCAUCUUUUAACGUUAGAAUUUGUUUUAAUUUCUAAUUAAAUGUUGUUCUUCAAGCUUUCGUUUUCUCCUUUUGCACUUCCUUCGUAGUUACAGCUCUCAAGUCUAGAAGUGGAGCCAUGCGUAAGCUGAUAAGCAUGUCAUGGCCUUGGCCCCAACCUCAGCAGCUCUUCCCCUCCUUUCCAACCCCACUCAACAUACAUGAGAAGCUAGUUUCGUUACUGCUUCAGUCUCAACUAAUUUACUGAAUCAAAAAAUAUAGAGAAGAAGAAUCACUACCUUCCAAAUCUCUCUUCCUCAUUCAUAUUAACGAAAGAGUAAUGCUAGAGAGAGAUCAAAAUUUUAAUUAAACUAAAUGACAUACAAGUUGAUAAUUGGAUUAUUACUUAAUUGUUGAUAAACGUGCUCACGUCAUUUGAUUUGCAAAUCUUGGCUAUAAAUUUAGUCUCCCUAGCAUUACAGGAAAUGAGCAUGUUUAUCAACGUUUGAGUAAUAAUCCAAUCAUCAACUUUCAUAUCAUUUAGUUUCAAAUUUUUGUUUACACAUUUAGUCUCCCUAGCAUUACCCAAAUUUUAAACUAAUGUGAUUGUUGAUGAUUGAGUAUUACUCAAGUGUUGAUUAUCGUGCUUAUUUUCUAUUGGUGAGAUAUUAUUUGAUUUAAAAAUUAGGUAAUGCUAGAGAGACUAAAUUUUAAACUAAAUUUUGUAAACUAAAUGAUAUGGUUCUUGAUGAUUAAAUUAUAACUUAAGUGUUGAUUAACGUAUUUAUUUCCUAUUAAAGAUACAUCAUUUAGUUUACAAAUUUAAUUUUCCUAGCAUUAUCCUUAAAAAAUUCAUCUCCCUAAUAAUAUUGUUAACAACUACAUGCAUAUUUUUCUUUUUUGCCUAUCGUAACAAGAGUUGCGCUAUUUUCAUUCACAAUUGUCCAGGUUCUUAACCCAGAAUAUCUUACAACGAAGUGAUUUGCUAGAAAAAAUUAUAUUUGCUAGAACAAAUUAUAUUUGCCAAAGAAACUUGAAAUUUUAUCAUAAAAUUAAAGUUAUAAGAAGCCCAUCUUACUUAUAAGCUUUUGUAAAAUUCUUUUAUCAGUCAUAUAAAAUUCAUUCUCAACACGUUGGUUAAACUGUGAUAAAUUUUAAGUAUAAUACAUGAGCAACACAAAUAAGUGGAACGCCAAAGACUGUCGAACUUAACACAUAGAGCAAUCCGCUGUGUAUAUCAUGUUAUCAAGUGGCCAAAGAUAGGUAACAUUGUCCCCAUCUAAGAUUUCACCUACAAUAGACAUGUGUCAUUGGAUGUCUGAUUGCAUGUCAUUUUUCACCAAUUGUCGCCAUGCCAAUGUGUCCCAUUGCUACGAUGCCUCUGUGUACGCAGGCGCGUAUGUGUCAACAUUUCUAGGCAGGUUUUUGUGGACUCGCUCUUGCCCACGUGUCGUUUCUCGAAAGGAGCUCUAGAAAAACGACAUGGUAGUGGGCCAAUGGGAGCACCCCAAUCAUCAGCACCAUUUUCCACGUGGCAGUAGGUUAAACAAUGUGUUUGUAGUAAUGUUAGCCAUGCAUGGACCAUAGUUUGGAUGAAGAUGGACCUCCUUAUUAGGGUUUCUACCUUUUUCUUGAAGGCUUGGAACUUUCACAUCUUAUAGAUUCGUUUUUGCCACUUUCAUCACUAAAAGAAAAAGAAGAGAGUGUCUUGUAAGUUUACAUUUUGUGCAUUUAGGGUUAGAGACGCAUCUUUCCUGGAAUCUGACCUGAUCCCAUAAAAUAAUGUCAAAAUAUCCUUUUGGUUUGGUAAAUAUGAACUAUGGGAGUGGUUCAUGCAUGCACGCAAAGAAAAGACCAAAACUAUACGUAUGUAUGGUCACUUGCAACAUCAAGUCUACGAUUGUACUUUUGUUAUGAGAGGUUAUAUAUAUCUAAUAUUUCAAAGUUUGUCUUGAUUUGAUAUUGUGCGCUUAGGCUGUACGAAGCAGUGUUCUUAACUAGUUAUUAAUAUUGUAUUAAAUUAGAAAGCUGAUUUAACUAUGCAUAAGCAUAACAGAUGACGCUUUAUCGCAGUGACAAAAAGUAAUAUCAUGUUUAUGCAUUCUGGUGGAGGUUUAAUUUCCACUGAGCCCUUUUAACAACUAAGUUUUACCUACUAACGUUAUCGGCGUCAAGAAAAAUAAACCUAUACAUGCAUGAGCGUAAAAUGUUCUAACACUAAAGCUAUACGUUAUUUGACUUUAAUUUGUAUGAGGUUGAUUUUGGAUUACCAUGCUGACCUUAUUACCCAACUUGAUUGUGAUAAAGAUUGACUAUAAUGUCAAAACAUAUCUAACUCUUCCAAACUUUCAUCCUAAGAUUAUGUAGAUAACUUCCAUCUUUGAAAAUGCCGACCGUCCAAUUUGUGAUUGAUAAUGAUAUGUGAAAUGUACUAUGGUUUUUUCUUCGAAUCAUAAUAAGUAGUUUGGUACAAUAAGACAUUUUAGUGAUCGAUAUGUGAGCAAAGAGUUUGUAGUUCUCGUAGUUAACAAUGUUUAUUCAUACACUCGGUGUCUGGUAUUGUUCUUCACUUAUUUUACCUUUCAGGAAUGAUAUAUGACGUAAUAUUACUAUACAUGCAUGAUGCAUGGUAAUAAUUAAUGGACGUGGACUAGACAACAUUAUUGUUGGUGACUCCAUUGAAUAGCUGUUAGCUGGUGCACGCACAAAUGGACAUGGACCUGCACAUGCACAGUUUGUUGUGUAACCUGGAGAAUAUUUUAAAGCCUGACAAGUUCAGACGGUUGUGGAUGCAAUAAUACAGAUCCGACAUGCAUCAAGCACAAAUUUGAUGAUGAAAUAUAUAAAAUUAUCUUAAUACAUUCGACAUACUUCCUCAUAAUACCCUUAUACUCCAUAUUCUCAACAUAAACCUUACAUUUUUUACAUACACAACACAUUUUCUAUACACUCCACAUUCUUCAAAUCUUUUUUUGAAGGAAAAAACCCUAACAUCCUGCGUGCUUGAUGUGGAGAGAAGAAAACAGACACUUGAAAGGCACCAAUUGAAUCGAAUGGGUAAUUGCAAUAAUUCACCCUUAAAUUGAAUGAGUUAUAUUGUAGUAAUUUAUCACUGAAAACAGUGAGGCACCAAGUAUUAAAAUGACCAAAUAAUUGUUAUAUGGUUAGAGGUUAAACUUGAUACCACAAAGAAAAAAAAAUGCAUAUUAUUAGAGAAGUUCCUAAGAGAGAAACAUUUAGGUAAGACUUAUUAUAUUAACACCUCAUAAAUUGUUGAAUAAACCUCACAUACUUAAUACACCUCACAUUUGCUUUUCGAUUAAAAACUAUCUUAAUACACCCUCACUUACUUCCCCAUAAUACCUUCACACCCUACAUUCUUAAUGUACAUCUUACAUUUUCUAUAUGCACCUCAUAUUUUCCAUACAUACCACAUUUCUCAAAUCUUAUAAAGCUUUUAAUUUAGACAAAUAAUGCCGACUAAAAUUUUGACAAAAUAUACUGCAUGGGAUUUAAAGCAUAUGUGGGUUGUUUUCAAUUUCAUCAUUAAAACUCCUGUCGUUUGUUUUUAAUAUUUGGUGGUAAUUGUAGAUGUUUAAUUCUUCAUGUAAUCCAUGUGAUCCCUAAAAGAUGAAUACGAACAUAGAAGCUUGAAUAACGCAUCAAAAGUAAGAUUAAAUAAUUAUCGAUGUAGUCAAAACCACUAUAACAAUAAAUAAUAUGAAAUCUUAUCUCAUGUGAAGCUUCUGAAACAUCGAUUUCGUGUUUCAUUCGUCAAAAAUAAUUUUUCUCAAUCAACAUGUUUGUAGUUUCAUUGGUUAGGGUUUUGUUCAACAAUGGAGGGUCCAAUGGGUUUUGAUAGUUGAAGAAGAUAAAUAAUACGUAAAAAUUGAUUUGGGGUGUAUAUAGAUUUUUUUUUUUUUUUAACCUAACAAUGUCAAAAUUGCCAUUGCAUAGUCGGAUAAAUAAGUUAUUUAAUAUUAAAUUUUAAUGUGGGGUGCUAAUAUAAAAAGCCUUUAGGUAAUAUGAUUUUCUAGGAAUUGUAAAUAAAUAUUAGGCUUAAAUCAAUCAAUAAUAGGGCUUGGAUGGUAUAGUUUCUAGUAAAUCAUAAGUAGAUAUUUGGGACUAAUCUCCUAUGAAAUCAAAAUCAGCGAAUAAAAUAACGCAGAUAGCUUAAACAACGCUCAUAGCUUGGUUAGGGUUUUGUUCAACAAUGGAGAGUAAGGGGUUUCGAUAGUUGAAGAGGGUAAAUAAUACGUUAAAAGUGAUUUAUGGUGUUUUUAGAAAUUUCUUGUUUUUUUUUUUAACCUAAUAAGGUCGAAAUUGUCAUUACAUAAUAGGGUACACAAGUCAUUUAAUAUUAAAUUUUAAUGUGAGAUGGAUUCAACAUUUUGUAGGGUCCUAAUAAAAAUAACCUUACUAAAAGCAUAUUAAGAUUUCACUCACAAAUAAUAGCAUGCAUAUUUUAGACAGUCUUUUCUCAUUGGUAAUCUGUUGUUUCGAGUUUAGAGUUUAGGGUUUAAAGAUGCCGAAUUGCUGUAAAUAUUCCGGAAUGCUAAUUUGUGAAGAGAUUAGGAGAGCCAUUGGAGGAGGAGAAAGAGGCACCCAGAAUCUAGGGUUUCCACUCCUUUAUUCAUGACAUGCAGACCAAACUUAUCAAUGAGUAUAUAAAAUAGGUUUUUUUUAUAUAUUAGCACUCCACAAAAUGUUAAAUGCAUCCCACAUUAAAAUUUAAUAUUAAAUUAUUUGUGUACCUUAUUAUGUAAUGACAAUUUCGACCUUACUAGGUUUUAAAAAAAAACAAGAAAUUUCUAAAAACACCAUAAAUCACUUUUAACAUAUUAUUUACCUUCUUCAACUAUCAAAACCCUUCACUCUCCAUUGUUGAACAAAACCAUAACCAAGCUAUGAGCGUUGUUUAAGCUAUCUACGUUAUUUUAUUCGCUGAUUUUGAUUUCAAGGGAGAUUAGUCCCAAAUAUCUACUUAUGAUUUACUAGAAACUAGACUACCCAAGCCCUAUUAUUGAUUGAUUUAAGCCUAAUAUUUAUUUACAAUUCCCAGAAAACCAUAUUACCUAAAUGUUUCUCUCUUAGGAACUUCUCUAAUAAUAUGCUUUUUUUUUUUCUUUGUGCUAUUAAGUUUAACCUCUAACCAUAUAACAAUUCUUCGGUCCUUUUAAUAAUUGGCGCCUCACUGUUUUCAGUGAUGAAUUACUGCAAUAACUCAUUCAAUUUAAGGGUGAAUUAUUGCAAUUACCUAUUCCAUUCAAUUGGUGCCUCUCAAGUGUCUGUUUUCUUCUCUCCACAUCAAGCACGCUGGAUGUUAGGGUUUUUUUCCUUCAAAAAAAGAUUUGAAGAAUGUGGGGAGUAUAGAAAAUGUACGGUGUAUGUAGAAAAUGUAAGAUUUAUAUUAAGAAUAUGAAAUAUGAGGAUAUUAUAAAGAAGUAUGUGUGGUGUAUUAAGAUAAUUUUUAAUUAAAAAAAUAAAUAUAAAGUGUAUUAAGUAUAUAAAGUUUAUUCAAAAAUAUAUGAAAUGUUAAUAUAAUAAGCCUUUUAGUAAUAAACGACAUUCGUCAAAGUAUCUAGAUUACGGAAGAAAAAAAACAUUUCCUUUCGCGGGCGCAUAUAUAUACACUUUAGUCAAUAUAAUUACGUUCACGUCGCACAGGGUAUCAUUGUUUUGUUUUGAAAGGUGAGAGGAGCCGUGUAGUGCCAUGGAAGUUCAUUGAACUUUAGCUAAAACAAGCUGACAGGAAAAGCCUGAUAAUGAUGCGGUAUCAGGUGAAUUUCACGUGCUCAUCCAUCUCUUAUCUGACUGAACUUGUCUUGUCAAUCAUCCAUCUCAUCUCUACCAUCUUCGGUGCGUGCCCAUUGACAUCGACUUUUUUAUAUUAUUUUUUCUCUCACAUUAUUUGUCCUUUUUCUUGAACAAAUUGAUGAGUUCACUCGAUGCAAGUUAAUUGUAAAAUAGACAUUCCCCUUCAUGUAAUAAGUUUGGAUUUUUAAGAACAUAUUUACUCUACCUCUUAAAGUAAAAUUUAAAUUUUAAAUUUAUCCUUAUUUAUUUUAAUUUUUGGACUAAAUAUGAGUUUUAACCAAAAACUCAUUUUUUGAACAAAUUAGCUCAUAAUUCUGCUUGAGUUAGUGGGCUGACCCGACAUAUAUAUGUAUUUUUUUUAGUUUUAUAUUUUUAAAUUCAUUGAAUUCGAUGAUUAAGAUUUAAUAUGAUGAAAGCUAAUGAUAAAAAAAUAAUCUAAUGGUCCAAAUUUAAAUUCAACGGCUAAAAUAAAUUUAAAAAAAAAAAUCAUGUGUUUGAUAUUCUUUCGUACUAUUCCACGAGUUUCAUAGUGUCAAUUUAAUGAUUUUUCAAUAUUUAUCGAAAUCUAAAUAUAUUUAGGUUAAAAUGUUCAUAAAAUUAAAUUAGGAUAGUCUACAUAAUUUAUAUUUUUCUAAAAUGUUACUUUAAGAAAAAGUUAAUCUUAAAUUCAUUCUUUAAUAAUUUUAGGUUAAAAAUUUAACCCAAAAGGUUGGAGCAGAAAAACUGUUUCUGGGUUAAAAACCUAAAUAUUUUAGAUUUUAACCCAAUGGUUGAAGUUGGUCUCACUGAUAGAAUACAACCACAUUUUUAUAUUUCAUUAGUAGAUAUAUGAGAAAAAAAAUAGACAUAUAAUUAUUUACAAUUGAUUACUUUAAAAAAUCUCUCGUUUAAAAGUAGAGCAUCUCCAAAGGUACCCAUUUAUAAAUAAAUUUUGACUAGAGUUGCUAGAAAGUCAUUCUAGCCAGUCAAUUUUUAUAGAUUUGAUUGUUCUCUCUUUCAAAAACACAUCAACAUGUGCCAGUGAAAGAUAAAAACAAAAGAAGUAGACAGCUAACCACUAUAAGUAUGUCACAUCCCAUCCAGCCCCUACCAUAUCCCAGGCUUGAUUCCAUCAUAGCACGAUAUUGUCCGUUUUGGGCCCCGACCAUGCUCUCACGGUUUUAUUUCUGAGAACUCACACGAGAACUUCCCUGUGGGUCACCCAUCUUAGGAUUGCUCUCGCACAAACUAGCUUAACUUCGGAGUUUCGAUGCCUGAAGCCAGUGAGUUCCCAAAAAGCCUUAUGCUAGGAAGAAGUGGGCAUGUACAUAUAAGGCUUACAUGAUCCACUCUCCUGGGCGAUGUGAGAUGUUACAAUCCACCCAUUUUAGGGGCCUGACGUCCUCGUCGGCACACUUCCCGCUAGGGAUUGGCUAUGAUACCAAAUUGUCACAUUCCAGUCCGGGCCCCCACCACACCCUUGGCUCGAUUCCACCGUAGCACGAUAUUGUUCGCUUUAGGUCCCUACCACGCCCUCAUAGUUUUGUUUAUGGGAACUCAUACGAGAACUUCCCAGUGGAUCACCCAUUCUGAAAAUUACUCUCGCGCGAACUCGCUUAACUUCGAAGUUUCAAUGGAACCUGAAGCCAGUGAGCUUCCAAAAGGCUUCGUGCUAGGAAGAGGUGGAGAUGUACAUAUAAAACUUACAAGAUCCACUCCCCUAGACGAUGUGGGAUGUUACAAGUAUAUAUAUCUCAUCAUAUCAUCACAUUUUGGAGCUUAAAAUUCGAGUUAUUUGCAUAUUGAUGGGUGGUAUUGUUCACACAAUUUUUAUUUUUUAUCUUCUAUACACUUUUCUAUACACUUGUUAAUUUUAUUUUUUGAUUCUUUUAAUUAUUCGAUCCGACGAUUGAAAAUUAAGAGGAGUAUGUAAAAGAUAAAAAAAAAAUGUUAAGGAUAGCACUGCCUUAUAGAUUUAGUCAUGUUAACUAUAACAGUAUGCUCCAUCCUUUGCAUCCAAAUUUAAAUCAUCUUUGGUGUCUUUUAAAUGAAUUCAUAAAUUAUCCAAUCGGUUGCCAAAUGUAUGCAAAUUUAGCCAAUUGAAGUAGAAGUUUCGACCAAAAAAAAAAAAAAGUAGUAGUAGUAGUAGUAGUUCACCAGCACUAGAACGAGACCAAAAAGCCAAUCAUGAAGCCCAAGUUGGUCGCCCAAGCCCGUUUCCCCCAUCUCAUUGUCAUGUCUCUCAUUUUCUCUCUUGCAAAAGGCUUUCAAAACUAAAAUUUUAAAAGACGUUAAGCGCUAGUCGGACGGUAGAUUAUGAUCUAGUGCUUAGAUGGUUAGGCGGUGGCCUAGGCGGAUUUGAAUAAAUUUAUUGUAUAUUGUAUAAAUAAGUGCUUGUUUAUAUUUAAAAAAAAAGGAAUUGUUAUUAGCACUAAAAAAAUUUCAUUCUACACUUCUCACAAGUGUAUUUUUCUUUCUAAUUAUAAAAAAUUUGGAGUGCCAAAUGAGAUUUUUUGAGUGUUAAUAACAAUUCCCUAAAAAAAAAAAAAACAUAAUUGCACUAUGAUACACAUAUUACAAAAUAGAAUGAUAUAUAGAUUAUAAAUUAUUAAAAUAUAAUAAAAAUAUGAGGAACAAGUAUAUAAUAUAUGGUCAUCUAAGUAUUUAAUAAGUCUCUUAUAAUCUAUUAAAAAAAUAAAAUGCAAAAUGAAAGUUAUCUAUUUUUUGUCAAAGUUAGAAUUGCAACCUAUGCAAGCUCCUAGACAGGUAUGGACGGACGCUUAAGGAGGUCUAGGCACUAUUUCUUUAUUUUCAAAUACCUAGAGAUUAAUUGGACGGUAGCCAACUACAUAAAACAGUGCUCAAAAUCUGUGUCGACCAAAAAAAAUAAAGAAAAAGCUAGCACCUAUUGCGUUCUUGGUGUGAUUGUUCCCCUUAGGAUUUUAUUAUUGUGAUUCAAUUGUAAACAUCGACAAAAGUAAGAAUAGGUAAAGAUUGAAAAGAAGGUUUUUGCAUUCAUGAUUUUUCUCUCCAAGAACAUACCGUCUCUGUAACGUUGCAUGUAUAAGAUAACCUUACACCAAAAAAAUCCUUUCCUUCAAUAUUUUAGAUUUACUCUCUUCGAUAUAGAACAAAGUAAACCCUAAGUACUAAGAGCAAAGAUCAUCACAAACGUAGAUUAAAAAACCUUAUUUAAGACGAAUGGAACACUAAUUGACUAUUUGAUGUCUCUACUUGAGUAUGGCUUCAUAUUUUUCAUCGUGUAUAAAUUUUAUACGAUGCACAUAUUAAUGGUCAUACUGUGAUAAAACUUUCGAUUUAUAACAAUUGAAAUUGUUUUAAAAAGUGAAUAGGCAUUAACAGAAAGCAUUUAAGUUUUCAACAAGUAACCACCUAAAUUGUUCGUGACAAUAAUAAUGGAGAUCAAAUUUGCACCAGAAUGACAAUAAUAAUGGAGAUCAAAUUUGCACCAGAAUGCACAAACAUAAUUACUUUUCACCUCUCAAAUACCGCAUCAAGUGCUACAAAAAAAAAAAAAAACCUUUAGUAAAACGACAUCGUCUAGAGAAAUAUUAAAAUGACAAAAAUAGGGCAAACCAUCUUCUCUUCUUCGCGAGUAGUGCCGCCGGGUCACAGUUCCUUCACUGGUAUUAAUUAUUCUUUGUUCCCAGCCAGUUGUCGGCUGAAACAGCAGCGGCGGCGGCCAAAGAUUCAACCUUGAUUUGGUCUGGAGCACAGGACUCCAUGGCCGAAGAAAACCAUCUUCCAGAAGCAGCAGCAGAGCCGAGGAAGCGGAAAAUAGGGAAGAAGAAGGGCUCCUGGGCAAAGAAGAGGGCGAAGAUGUUACAUUCGUCGGAGGAAAUCAGAGCCAUGAAGCCGAAGAAGAUUAACAAGAAAAUGAAGAAACUGUUUCUGAAACGAGCCCGGGAGUACGAUUCGGAGGACGAGGAGGAGUCCAAACAGGAACAUGUGAAACCGAAACCGAAACCGAAACCGCAACCGCAACCGUUGGGAAACAAUGAGGAGGAGCCGAGUGGCAGUGGCGGGUCGUCUUCAGGGGAAGAGGCGGAGGAAGGUGGUGGUGGUCACAAUAGGGAUGAUGGUUUUUCGGAUGACGAGGAGCACGGCGAGUUUCUGCCCGGAAUCAUGAAGUUUUCGGAGGGUUGCAAGGCGUUUAGGUUGGCAUUCAAGAGUAUAAUCAAGAAGUCUGUUUCUCAGGAUGCAGUGGUGAGUUAUAUAGAAUUGAGCUGCUAUGUCUAAUUCUUUAGUUUUUGGGAGUUUUUUGUGUGUUACAGGAAAAUGUUUGAUUGCUUUGCAGGGACCCGUGAUGUCGGCGCACAAGAAGCUUGUUGCAGAAAAGCUUGCCGAGGAGCAGACCGAGCGCAAGGCAAAGGGCGAGGCUAAGAAGGAAAAGCACACGGUAGUUCACAACUUCGAUUUUGUUUUUAAUUGUAAUGUGCAUGCGUCCAACAUUUUGCUUGAGAGGUUUAAUGUUUAUUUGUGUAGAUCGUUUUGAUUUGAUAGGUGAUAGAAAAGGGGCAUGUGAUGCCGGCCAACUAUUUAGACACGCACGAAAAGUUUCUAAUCGGUGUUGCUACUAAAGGAGGUACCGAAUUUUCCAUUUGGUUAAGAUAUAUGUGAUCGAAUGUUAUUUGUCUUGUGGGAGUGUUAUCAAAUUUGUUUCUCAUACUGACUUAGCUCACAUUUACCGUGUGCAAUGCUGGAUGUUCAGUGGUGAAGUUGUUCAAUGCUGUGAGUUGCUUUAUGUGAAUCUAAUUGUUUGCUUGUUUUUAAAGUUUUGGAUAAGAUUGUUUCCGUUGUGCCACAUUGAAUCAUGAGCUCCUUUUUGUGUCUAAUGCAGGUCAACAAGGCACAAAAUGCUCAGAAAGGACUGAAUCCUUCUAAGUUUAAAGAUGCCAAAGGUGUGUUCUUAUUACUGCGGCUACAAUUUGAGACUCGUUCUUGACAGUUUACGUUGUUAAGUUUCAGAUAUUAACUCUGCUUGAGUUAAUUUUAAAAUUUUACACUGAAGUAAAAGCAAUAUGUUGUGAUCAUAUCAUAUAUAGGGUUGAACAAACUUGCUGUAGAGUCUGGUCUCUGUUAGUAAUAGUUGUUUUGUGAUAUUUUGUGAUGCUUCUUUGAGUAGCCAUAUGAAUUGAUUUGGAUCUCAUAUUGGCUUAGUUAGGAGGCAUAUAUUAAUUCAGUGUUUGCAGUGAGGCCUUUUGAGGGGACUCUCCGUCUCUUCCUCUUCAAUUGUCCUCCAAGCAGCCUCACACAUUCUCUAACUAACCGAAAUAUCUUUUUCCACUCUCUGACUUUACUCACCGAGUCACCUUCCAUGAUAAUUGCAUUGUCAUGCCAUAUAUAUUUAUGAUCCUGGCUCAGGUUUUUUUGGGAGGGGGGAAUUAUUUUAUGCUUGGUUAUUUUUGUUGGUGAGACUCAUAGAGCAAUUGUUUGUUUAAAGUGUGGAAACCUCUGUUCAAUAUUUGUGUUUAAUCUACCUAUAUUGUUGUUUAAAUAAUUCCAGUGAUAAAAAAGCGGAGGAAAGAAGCAUUCUUUUCCGAGUUGGGCAAAACAUCUUUGAAGGUUAGCUACUUUUUCCUUUAUCAGUUCCUUUCCAUUCUCCCACAGCAUUUUACCAUCUUGAUGUUCGUCACUGGUGGAAGGAGUGGUUGUAGACAUUCUUGUUUCUUAUAUUCAAAGAUUCGAACAAUCAUAUAUAUUAUGUACCAUAUAGUUGUAGACGUUCUUUGUUCUUAUAUUUUAAAAUUUGUUUGGAGGAUCGAUAUCUGAUGUUGAAGGUCCUUUCCUGAUAUGUAACUGUCGUCCUACCACUUGGUUCCAUAACAUGUUGGUAGUGCCAAAGGCCAAUGUGUACUGAGAGUGAUUUAACAUGCAGGCUCAUACGUCUAAGGGCGCAGUGGAUGGUGAAGGGCCUGCCUGGGCACCAUUAAGAGAUAAUUACAUGCUCACAAAUCCCAAAUUGAAAGACUGGGAUAAGAUGCCGGUAAGCAUCUGUAAUCACAUCUUGGUUAAGUGUUUCACUUGUCAAAGACACUCCCGCACUCACCUAAACACGUGACACAAUACGCUUCUAGCUUCUAUUAUUGAUUCCGACAUGUGCUCUUCAAUUUUCAUACAGGAUACCGUUGCGGAAGAUGACAUUGGAAGGGUGGCUGGAGAUAGUUCCGAUGAUGAUUGAUGCUGUGGAACUGAACAAACAGCUCUGUGCUGAUUGCACACUUUUUGUAAACUUAUGUUAUCCUUGUUGCUACUGCAUAGGUGGAAUUUUGUUUUCGAUUUCUAUUGGUCGUUAUAAAUGAGUGUUUUAUGAUGCGAUUGGCGAAAAUAUGUACAUGAUCAACCUCUUCUGCUUUCAGUUUCUUUUUUCUUGCUCUUCAUUCUGUGCAAAAAUUUCUUUUACCUUGUUUUUUCGGUUUUGCUUGACCGCAAUUCCGAUUUCACACUUUUGAAGCCUUUCUACCAGACAAAAACUGACCGCAUGAUAUACGAUAAACAAACACGAUUUAAAGAUCCUCACAACGAGGAUCCUCCUGGUUCUACCAUGACAUUUGGUCUUGAGGGUUGAGCUCCUUGAUUUGAGAGCAAAGCAUUGACAUGCUACAGAAGAUGACGGUUGCCAUCGCUGAAUCGUUAUCGUUGAAACGGAAACGUUUCCGCAGAUCUUCAGAUCGCUUGUGAAACCGAAUACGUUUUUGAUACGAGAGAAAGAACGCAAAAUUGACAAUACAUUAUCGGUUACGAAUACGAUACACUAAAAUUACAAGGUGAACUGAAGUCCAGUUCAGAUACUUAUACAUUUUAUGACAACAAAAGCGAAUAACAUCUCCUUCGGCAUAACUACAAACUAACUGCAUAUGUAAACUAUCCUGUUCUUGUCUACCCAGGCCAACAAAAAUGAAACCGAAGAAUUUACAAGUUCGAGUUUAACGUCUCACCUCACGAAGGUCUUAUGUCAGAGCUCAUAACCAUCAACGGCAUACGUACAGAUCCUGUGUAUGUCAAAUGAACAGAAAAAAGGUAAAAGCAAUCGCAGCUAAUCUAAUGGUCCGGAAACCACAUGUUCAGCCACCAAGAUGCCGUGGCAGCCACUUUUAUCGGAGCAGGAGGGCGAAAAAAUAUAAUAACAGGACAAUCGAGGACAUCAAGCAUAGUAAUGGUUUGGAAGACCAAUGUGAAUCCUCCCGGGAGAACGAUUGAACUGAUGAACUUCUCCUAGAGAAACAUAAAAGGGAAACAAACGCGCUGGAUAGUGUGAUGAUCAAUCAAUCUGGCAUCGUGAGGUAGAAUCAGAAAGUUGCUCCUCCACUUUAGUAGUGAAGCAUCAGAACCUGGCCGUUUGCAUCAAUCCUUAUCUCCGGACGAAACCAAGGCCCUGUGAUACAAUCAUACAUCUUUUCACUGCACAAGAGAAAGAUGCAUCAGUUUCAUCUCCCGUAACGUAAUAACAAUCAAACAGCAAUUGUUUCUUUUGUGUUAUAAAAACUUGGUUAAAAAUUGUACUCAAUAGCUUCUGGUUCUGGCCUGGUUCAAGGGGUCGUAAUCAUAAGCUUCACCAGCUUUAAUGAAGCGGCCCUUCACACGCUUUCUUACAUCGGCCCUUGCUUUGCGAGAAGCAUACCUCACCCUUUUCUCAAACCUAUCAAAAAGACAACAGAAAAUACGGAUGUUUAGUUGAGAGGAACAGCGCAAAAUUUCAUGACCAAAUAAGACUUCCGUGAAAGUGUAACCACUUCAACCAGAAGAAAGUACAGAAAGAAAUCAAGACACCCUAUAUAGUUAAAUCUUCUAUAAACGGCAAAUAAUAAGAAAAAAACAUAAGACUGCUCCGAGAAGUGGUCAUACAACGAGGUGAAGAAACUAGAAAAAAAUUGCUGGCUGAAUAAAUGAAUGAUAAACAAGUAGCAGUGUGCGUGCUUGCUAAUAUAUUUACUUUUUGGAGUACACUUACUUGCGUGCCUUCUUCUUUUCCUUGUAACGCAUAACAGCAUUACUACGGUUAGCCGAUUGCAUGGAACUCUCAGGGCAAGGAGGACACCAUGGCGGCUCUCCCAUGAGAAGCAUUGAGGAAGCCCCACAAUCUUGACAAUCACCAGCACUACUCUCUCCAGUAACGCCCGAAAAUGAAAGGUUUGAAUGUGCUUGUUUUGCCGGAAAGCAAAUAAUUGGGUCAGUUUUCCUACUCAUUACAGAAUCAGCAGAUGCCGCGUUACUGCACGCUGGCUGCGGUGUAUUUCCCAGUCCAACUGAAGACCCCUGAUAAUAAAAACACUAAUAGUUAACCACAAGUACACUUUAUAAACUCAAAUCCGGACAUGCUUACCAACUACAUUAAGAAAGAAAAACCCAAAAGUUCAGAAUGCCUACUUGUAAGAUAAAAAUAAAGCAAGUUUUUAGUUACACAGUAUAGUCUAACACAACGACCCAGCCAAUGAACAAAUAGAGAUCAAGAAAGUCCGAGCAUCGUAAAGCACGAAAGUAAGGAGACAAAAUUACCUCAGCAGCAACCGCAUCUUGAUAAUUCCUGCACAUGUUCCUUGCCCCAAACAAGCUAUCAAUCCCACCAUUCUUGAAAAGCUCUUCAGAGUGAUUGAGAGAUACACCAAACAGUUCGUCAUAAUUUUCAAGAUUCAAAUCCAUUUCAUCCAUAUCGAAACCAUCAUAAAGGUCAUCAUCUUCAGGGAGUCCAGAACCUUUGGGCCCAUGAGAGUAGAGCUGUAUAAUCAUAACACGAAAUUGCAAACGUCAUUGAUGAAACUUAGAACAACAUCACACACAAGGAUUUAGAGAACAGAUUGUACCCAAUGUUGUAUCAAGAUCAUAAUUUUGGAAAAGAAAAUUACCUUGGGCAAUGAAGCAUUCACAGAUCCAGACAGCUGGCCAACAACAUGACGAGCAUGAUUACGUUCAGGCAACGAAGGGGAACCAACCAGAACACCAGACUUAUGCAUGGAAUGCGCAGCAUUCACUUCAUCUGCACCGGAUGCAUUUUGCCUGGUGUUACUUUCACUUUGGUUCCAAUCAGUUGCGGUGCUGUUGUCAGCGAUGCUCAUCAAUCCCAUUUCCUGCUCGCAGGCAGAUUCUCCGUUGGAAGGUAAUUCUGAUACGAAUGACCAGAUGGACGACAGUUCGGCAGACGAUGGGCAACCAUUGUAACAAUUAAGUGUCUGCCUCUUAUGCAUGGAAGCUGAGGUCGAUGUUUCGUGAGCCAUCAAAUCACAAUUCUGACAAAGAGACAUUCUCUCUUCUGUGCAUCUUACAAAUGCGGGUUGCGAAUUGCAUCUAUCGCAAAUAAGUGCUCUCGAGUGACGCCUAGAGAGGGCAUUUGCAGAGUGGACAUUUCUAUCACACGAUAAACACAAGCAUGCAUCAUCAGACCGGCAGUACACCAUGGACCUUUGAUUCCCGCAGAAAUCACACAUGUAACCCAUGUUUCAAUUUUUUUUCUCUCCUCUUCCAGUCCAAAGUUUCCCAAUUGUAUCCAAAACUAUAUACGAAUCUAACCGAAACCAGCUUCUCAGAAAGACAACAAUUCUGCUGAAUAUAUCUGACUACAGCCUUCAAACAACAUCAUAAACAGAAAUUCAGUAUUAUUGCUGUCAAAAGAUGUUACAGGAAGAACAUGAACAAGUUUUCGUAGAGAACGAAAUCGAAACAAGGAACUUACUAUGUCAAUUAUCAAAUACAUAAAAACUUUCAGAUCAUUUUUCACUUGUCUAGGAGAUGCUCCAAGUACUAAUCUGAAAAAAUUGGAUCCUAAAUCCAAAACAUCGUUUCAAACAAGGGCUUCACAACAUCAAAUUCAUACAAAAAAACCAAAUUUGCAGAUAUCAGGAAAAUAUAACCAGCAAGUAAAAAAAGUAAAUAAAUUUAACAAUCUUGCAUCACCAAAAACACAAAAAAAAUAAAAUCUUUUGGGUGAACUGACAGAUUAAACAAGCUUUUCAGCAAAGAUUUUGGCUUCAAAUAUAUACUCAAAACAAAAAAAAUGAAUAAAAGGGUAAUUUAAUUAGGCCCUACAUAUUAUUUCACACCAUCUGAAUUUUCAGAUGAGAAUUAUCAGACCCACCAACAGAGGAAAAAUCAAAGUAAAUCUACUACAAACACCCAAUAAAACUUUGAACUACAAAUAAGCCUGAAAAUUAGUAACAGAAACAAAAAGCCAACAGACAGAGAGCAUUCAGGAAACUUUACCAAGACAGAGGAGGAUAAGAUCGGUGUACAGGCAGCUUUUGAUUUUUCUUUUUAUUACAAAAGAAAUACAAAUCUACAAGCUUCUGAAGGAACCCUAAAGGUGUGAACUUUAUGGGUUUUCUGGGAAAUUUUUUUUUUUUGUUGUUGGGAGAAGAGGGUUUUCUCAAAUUUUCUUGCUCUUCUUAUGUGGAGAUGGGAAGGAUAGAAAGAUUGGGUUGGGGAGGAGGUGGAGGGGUGGGUGUGAAGGGUGUCAUAGGGGCUCCAAAGAUGGUGACUUCAGCAAAGUUGAUAAAAAGUGCAUUACUUGGUGUGGGUCCCUGUCCUUUUCAUAGUGAAUGGAAAAAGUUAGGCCUUUCCCUUUUCUAGGUCCCUCCAUCAUUUAAAUUCAUAUUUAAUUUUCCAAGCUAACUCUCUCUCUUAAUAUCUCCUCCCUCUGUGAUUCUCUGUUUUUCAUUUUCUUUGGCAAUUUUAUUUUCCUUUUUUGUGUGGAAUUAGGGUGGGAAAGCUAUUAAAAGUGCUUCUCUCAUCCUCUUCAGAUCAAUUCCAAAUAAUCUUUCUCAUCAAAUAAUUAAGAUUUUUAAACUUUGAUUAAACGGUUAAAAUUAUUAUAACUUUUAAAAUAUGUCUCUAUUUUUCAUCGUUUAAUCAAAUUUUAAAAACCUGAAUUGUUUGAUGAAAAUGAUUAGAAGGAAGGGAUGAAGAGAUUAUGAGAACCAUGUGAAAACACUUUUAACAGCUUUGCCACCCUAUCCAUGAACUAAUUCCACAUGAUAAUGGCAUGUCACAUGUCCUAGUCUCUUAUCUCACCAUCUGUCCCUAGAUUUUUUGUUUAUUUGUUUCCCUUGGUCUGAUUUUUUUCUUUGUUAUUUUUCUUCUUCUUACAAAGUAACGUUCUAUAAUAAUUGAAGGGCUGGUUUAAAAGUGUUUUUAAAACGUCGGAAAGUAUUUUUGGGAAAAAUAUUUUUGGUACUAAUCUUUAGCAAGAAUGCAAGUAAAUAUUUGAAAAACACUUAAAAUGCUUCAUGCAAGACUUUUGGAGCAAAAAAAACGUUUUCUCCAAAACUCUUUUAGUCAUUUUAAAAGUAUUUCCAAACAAGUCUUAAGAUAGAAUCAUUUCAUAUAGAGCUAAUUUGAACUUUUAAUACCUUAGAUAGGGACGAAGAUUUGAUUUCAAAUGUAAGUAAACAAAUACAAUGUACUAAACAACUGGCUACAAUUAAAAUUGUCUCCCUUUUAAGAUUGUGAUAAAAUAACACUCUAAUUUACGAAAUAGGAGACUCGAAUAAUAAUGAAAAAAUGACAUGCUCGUUAAUCGUUCGCAUAAGUUUUGAUUGUAGUUUUCAUUUGAUUGUGAUGCCUUAGACGGCCAUCCAAUCCAAUCUUAGGGAACUUUUCUUUUGUACUCUCCCCUAGCAUGCUACAUCCCCAUAAAUCCAAUCCUUUAAGCUCUAGAAACCUUCAUAUGAGUGCAGAUGAGGCAACUUGACAUGAACAAGACUCUCCAAAAAGUGAAAAUAAAGUCUCAAAUGUGCAAUAUAUUAAUUUGACAUUAAAAAAUAAUAGGUCCUCUCAUGAGUCAUAUGUCAUGGGACCUACUACACCCUACAUUUGCACUUUUUACUCCCUAAGGCCUACCAUAACUAUGGUGCAUCCAUCUCACUUAUUCUUUACAUGCAUUGCUUGUUACACAAUCUAAUUAGAAUCGAACAUGUCCGUACAUGAUUGAAUUGGAUAAAACCAUAAUACAUCAUAAGGAUAAGGUUGUUGUGUAUGAAUGUACCUUUUCUUACCCUUCUAAAAAUGAUAGAUUCCAUACCUAUUAUGGCAUCGGAAUUGAUCGUGAAAAAGACUCGCAUGUAAGGAGGUGUAUAUUUCUUCAUUUUUGUUCUUUUUUCUUAAAGACGAUUCUUUACCUAUAAUAACAUCUUAGCUAAUUAGAAAAGAAAUUUACAUGCAAUAAGGUGUAUGUAUAUUCAUUUGUUUCAUUUUUGUUAAUGACAAUUUAUACCUAUUAUAUCCCUAAGGUUAAUUCGAAGAGAAUUUACAUGCAACGAAUGUACGAUGAUUUGUCUUCAUUCUCUCAUCAAAUGACUACGUGACUUAUCCUGCAAUGAGAGAAGCAAAUAGUAAAAGAAAUAUAACGCGUUGCAAUUAGAGGUGGCUAAUACCCAUUAAAUUUGACUUCACCUUACACCCUCAUCACUAUUACCAAUUUCACCUCUAUAUUAUGCUGAUAUCAAACAGAUCUUAAUGGGAAACCAUUAACAAUCCAACAAGUUAAUUUGUCACCUCUAAUUGCAAGUAAGUUGCUUCCCAAAGUUAGAGUUAACCCUAAACCCCAAUAGAUCACAAAAGCUAGGGUAGUUGUUUAUCAUACCAAAAUCAUACAAAUAGUCAAACCCCAAAGGAGUUGGAAGCAACAAGAAAAAGUGGGAGGUGUAGGAAGCUAAGUAGCUUAAUCAGAUGUAUUAAGGUAAACUAUGUAUUAUGUAUUGUGAUUAGUGGAGAAUAUAUACAAGAUUUACAUGCCUAAUUUAUAUACUAAUUGUAACAAGAGAUAAGGCAACUGAAAGGCCACUCGAACUGAACAAAAAAAGAAAUGUGAGAUUCAACUUACAGACCCCACUUUCACAAAAAGUGCUUCCUUUUUUCCCCAUCUUUCAAUUUUAAUACUAUGUUAAUGUGCAUUUACCAAAGUAACCUUCUUCUGCAUAAUUUGACCCCUUCAGAUCAUGCCACGUGCCCCCAUGAUAUCCUCUCAUAUCUAAACCUUGGUGGACUUUCUGGUGGACUAGUCGCCAGUGACUCCCCGUGCCCUAUGAUAAGGGAGAAAAGAUACCAAAUAAUUGGGUUUACCAGCAAGCAUAUCAUUGCAGUCCAGCAAAAAGGAAGAAAAUUAAGAAGUUGACCUAUGUUUUGCAUACCAGAAUAUUCUUGGGUUUCCCAGAUUUACAAUUAUUAAUUAUAUAUCUGCUAAUCUUUCACGUAAAGAUCAAAUUUGAGCUUUGAAGGACUGUUUUUUUAAUGUCUUGUCGUCAAAUCUGUAUCAUUCUGUGAGUAUCUCGCUCACAAAUCUUGACGUUUUACCUUAACGAGUAAAAAGAGGAGCUUGCUCGAGUGGAAGUUAAAGAUAUAUAUAUAUAUAUAUAUAUAUAUAUAUAUAUAUAUAUAUAUAAAAGUCACCCAUGAAUAGUAGUAAGGAAAACUCGUGGGUGGGACAAUUAGAUGUGAUUGUGGACUCACAAAUCCAGUAAUGUCAAGAGUGGGCGAUUGCCAUUUGUAUUUUCAAACACGAGGCAAGGAAAAUCAUUGCACGUGAGUGAUUAUCAAUUUUUGAUGGUUUCAAAUCCAAAUGAGACACGUCAACAUUUGCUGACUUAUGUGAGUGAUUGUCAAUCGUUAAUGUGCGUUAAAAGACAACUAUCACUAGCGUUUCUCAAACUCAACAUACAAUACACCGUCGCCAACAAUUGAGUUAUCCAUUGGACAAACUCUUGCCUAUUAUCAUUUUGCUCGCGUGAGUGAUUAUCAACGUCAAUAAGCAUUAAAAAACGAUUAUUAUUAACAUUUCUCAAACUCAAAGUAGGCCACGUAAACAGUUAUGAGUUAUCGAUUGGACAAACUCUUGGCAUAUUACCAUUUUGCUCUAAGUGAAAAAUCUCAACUUGUCCCAUAAAAAUCUUAAGUCCAGAUACAAUUUUUGCAAACCAGAAAUUAUACUUCGUAACGAUUAAGGAGAAAUUGUCCACUGAGGCAACUGCCCAUAUGAAAACAGGUUGGGUGCCAUUUGACCAUUCAACUCAGAUUUUUCUAAAGAUUAAAUCAAGAAAAUAUCUUGCACUUUUUCUUUUGGGCAAAUAAUAUCUUCUCCCUUACAGGCCUACGAUAGCUUCCGGAAGUCUAGCCUACGAUAGCUCCAAGACACAUCCAACUGUCAAUUUAUAUGCGAGAUUCCAAUUUUUCCCAGAAGUCUAGUCGACAUUGCACCAACAAAAUAUCCCUUUUCCACUUUUCUUUUGGUCUUAAAAAAUAAAUAAAAUCCCCCUUCUACCCUACUAACGAUUUGUUUUCUUUCUUUUUUUUCGGUCAAUAGCAAAAAGUACUUGGAGCCAAUAAAAUCUUAGUGCAAAAUCAAAAGUCGUUCUAAGAUUCAUACAACCGACCUUACUUAAUGAGAUAAGGCUUUGUUGUUGUAGAAGUAAAAAUAUGAAUGAAUUGCUGGUUAUAUAAUUGUUGAACUUACAACAAAGAGGAGAAUGUGUGCUCAACCUCAACAAGUUCAAUAUGUUAGUGACCUUGCACGGCUCGAGCGAUAGAACUUGGUUAAAAAAACCAACUGCCCUCUAGGAUUUGGGUGAGAAAAAUCCGAGUUAUCGAACUAUCUUUAGCUAAAUAUACGACUACGCUCUUUUAAAAAAAAAUAUAUAUAUACACACACACAACUAUGGUAACCUAAGGUAAAUUCCAACAACUUAUUUGGCGACAUGCUUCACCUCCCUUGGAAAUACGCGUGCGUGUGAAGUUACACCACAUUGGAGAUACACUUGCAGAGCCUCUUUAUUCUCGUAUAUCCAGAUUCAAGAAUCUCAGCUGCAGCUCUUGUUUCAGCUAAUAGUGACUCGGGCAGCGCCUUUUCCACUGCAGAUUCGGAGGAAGCCUGUAUCUGAUGCGGAAGAAUCUCCGAGGGAUAAAUCCCACUGUCCAGAAACCAACAAACAAGUCACUACUUAUUCAAAGCACUAAGGUCUAUAUACGUAUAAAGCACAUUGUGGUAUGGAAGGCAUAGAGGAUUCUGACUGAUUAAGUAACGCCGAACAUUUGCAUAUUAUCUCAACAGAGGAUACUGACAGACUAGUAACAACAAACAUUUGCAUAUAAUCUCGCAAGUAGUUUCACAUUGUUAACUAGACAAUCCUGAAAGGACAAAAGUAAUUUGCAGCGGCGACAUACAAUGCUUAAAUACUCAUUAUACGGGGAGUCGCUGGAUUGUAUCCAGCCAAUCAAUAUUGGAAUAAAAUUCUACAUCAGAUAAGCAAAAAGAUAAUCAAGGAAAUUGGAUAGGACUCUACCUUUUCAAACAGGUCAUGUCAAGAGUCACUGCCACCUGUCUACCGCUCUUAAAAUUGAGGAAACAAAGCUUCAGAUCAAGCUGCUCAGCUAUAGAACAACAUAUAACCAGAUUUUAGUAAAGAUAAACAAACUGAUUCAGUGAAAGUUCGGAUAAACAAAUUGAUUAUCACAUUUUCAGUAUAUUUAUUACCAGAUGGAGUUUGAAAAGUUGUUUGAAUCAAAUUUACAAUCUCAAAUCGAGCCAGGUGCACUUCCUCAACCACGUCUAGCAGAUUUCUUAGCAGUGAACGGGUUACCUGCAUUAUAUAUGGACCGAAGUGAAAAAGCAGUCUAGAAUGUGGAGUUAGAAACAUAUUACCCACUUUGACAGUCAUACAUAGUCCACAACCUAUACAAAUUGAAACCCAGUACCACAAUUCCUAUAACUAAUGCACGUAAAAAAUUCCAUUCACUUAAAUGGUAACAUACUUGCGUUUCUUGUGCCAAAGGAAAACAUCUCAAAUCACAACUUUUCUUGGUGGCCUCAGCAUUUAGCACAAAACCAAAUGCAACUUGAACAUCCAUGUUUGGGAAUUCCUGAUGUCCAAAAAAUUUAACCAUUUAGAAAAGAAACAACAAAAUACACAACUUAUUGACUUCAGUACCUUUGUGCUUUUUAUAUAAUUGAAACUGUGUGAGAUGACUAUGUUUGAUGCUGGGCCCCCAGUACCUGUAAACCUGUGUCUCAUCAACAUGAAAUCACGUCAUACUUGAAUUUGGUAACAAGAAAGAUAAUACGUGACUCAUCCAAAAGAACAGCCAAAGAGAAGAAGAAAAAACCUUUGCAAGACGUAACCAUGGUAACUGAGAAGAAUUUUGUAAUGGCCAUUCUUAAUUUCAAAAUGAUCAACUUUCCAUAGCUGUUGAAUCACAGGUCUCUUAGUGACAUAAGACAUUUGUUUCGUGUCAGAAAAGUCAUAUUGUGAAUAAAAAUAACCUGCAAAUCAUGGCAAAUAAUCCUGCAACAUGUUCUUGUCUUGAGAUGAUGUUGAACUAAAGAUAUAGUAUCAGCGCAACCCGGUUCUCCUUUCAACUUGCAGUGGCUGUGAAAGAAAUUGCUUAAGCUUUUUACAUCUCUGUCCAAAGCUUUAAGCUCCUGCCUCAUUGUGCUUACAUUAUCACAGGAAGCCUGACAAUAAAAAGGAAUAUAUAAACAAAAAUCAUGACCUGAAACUGGGUUAUCUUCACAUAAUUAUUUUUUGUAAUAUCUAUAAGCUGAACUGGUUGUUUGAGAAAGGCAAAGGAAGAACUGUUUUCUUAUGCUGUAUUCAUCUUAUAUAAUCUUAUGGAGCAUUUAUAACAGAAACCUGUCACCUGUUUUCAAAUUCUACUAAUAAUUUUAUUUACUGCAUCUUUCUUUCUUGGAAUUUGGUUCGCAGGAAAAGUUUAAAGAAUAGUACUCAACACUGAUUAAUAUAUUCCCAAUAGAAUAGGGUCUGCCUAGUCAAUAAAAUCGCAUUUCUAUCGCAAAUACACAAUCUCAUGUAAUGUUAUUUAUUUAUUUAUUUUUUCAAAGAAUCAUUCACCUUGCUUUGUAGUUACAAUAGAUUUCUCUAGUUUACAAUCUUUUUAACAGUUUUCUCAAGUGUUUAAAAUCCUUUUGUUAAAAAUUAGAGGAAAACCAAAACAAAUAAUUUGGCAAGACCAGACAGAUAACUUGGCAAGAACAAUUACUGAAGCUACGAUUGCAGGGACAAGACAAUUGGUAAAUGGAUCUCCAAUCUUAGAAUUGAUGAUUACCUCUUGUUCACCCUCAGAAUUAACUAAAGAGUAUUGACGAUGACUAUCAUCAACAUGAGUCUCCCGUUCACUAGGUUCAGACUGACAAUGGAUGUAAUUUAAUUUCAGCAUCUGAGACUUCCGAAUUGCAGAGCUUAAGAGCUGUACUCUAAUCUGCAGGCAAGUAUAAGUCCAGGUGACAAACUGUAGGCAUAUCCAGAGAUGAAAAACAUAAGAGAGCCAACCUUAAUUAAUAUAUUUUUUUUAAAUACAAACCUGUAAUUUAUCACGCUUCACUUGCAUUAACUGCAAUUUUGCCUUUUCAUACACUAUUUUAUAAAGCAGCAGUCUUGCUUCAGCUACUCUGCAAAGGUUAAUGUCAAUGCUUAUUAAGCUAUACCACAUUCUUGGACACGUAAGAAUCUAAACUACAUAAUCAUAACAGGCAUGGUGAAAGACACCACCUUUUAUGCCCAACAUUGAGGCAGUCGAACUUCUGUACACAUUAAAUACCAGUGUUAGCAUAAAAAUUGAAAGUGUAGAUGCUCUAUAGAUUUAAAGAAUGCAACGUGGUCCGACUAUACUAUGUAAACAUGUCCGUAACAGACCCUGAUUGAUCAUUUAAUUCAGCAAACCUGAGACUGGACUUCAGAACACAGCAUCCCAUAUUUUUUAGCCUUCAAUAGGUGGACCAGCAUAUCUUCCAGCACACCAAUCUGCUUGAUCAUGAUAAAACAGCAAUGUCAACCAACAUGAUACAGAUAACAAACUUAAGCAUAAGAUGGUUAAUUCUAUCACCCAGAUUAGAUUUUUCUUGGGAGAAAGUAAUAAUAAAAGAAAAGGAAUAUACCGCUUUGAAAUUUAGUUUGCUUGCCAAUGGAGAAAGCAGUUGUUCUGUAUCUCCUGAGAAUUUUACUAAAAUCUGCAAGAAGGAAAUCUGAAGUAAGAAAAUGUAUGAAAACAAAAUACCUAGCAUAUCUACCAGAGAACCUGGCUAUUCAAGUGGACUAAAACAAAACAGGAAAUAGUACACACAUCAGUCCAGCACUUCCAAGUUGUAUCACCCCCACACUUCUGUCUGUCAUUGUAACCUUUAUUUGACUGAUGCAGCAUGAACUCUGGAUUGCAGUUCUCACUUCUGGGAACUUUCGGACUUUUCUGGAUUCUGGGGAUCGUAUCUGUACAGUAUCCAUCCUCAGAAAUUAUUCCUAGGUUUCGUCGUUUUUGUCCAACAGAAUUCUCUGAAUCUUUCCCUGUAAACGGAUUUUGUGAAAUAUGCUGUCCCUGAUAACAACCAUCACUAGGAUGACUAUUUGAAUUGGACUCAUGAGAUACUAGGUCCUUCCCAGCAAAGGGUCGCACAUUCUCAGUGUCUGCUGCACAAGAUGAAUCCAGUCUGGAGUGGCUAUUUGUUGACUCUUUUCUUGAGGGAAUCCGAUUCAUAUCUUUUAUGAAGGGACUACGAAUUGGCUCUUUCACAGUAGGACUUUGAAUUGGGUCUCUCACGAUAGGACUUCGAGUUAGCUCUUUCACCAAGGGACUUCGAAUUGGUUCUUUUCCAGGACUCCGAGUAAGUUCUUUUCUGGGAGGACUCAGAGUUGAUUCUUUCCUGCGGGGACUCUGAUUUGGCGCUUUCCUGAGGGAACUCUGAAUUGCCAUUCUCCCAGUAGAAUUGAGGGUUGGAUUCUCCUGGGGUGGACUCUGAAUUGGCCCUUUCAUGGAGGGGUUCUCAGCUGACACUUUACCGGAAGGACUCUGCAUUGACCAUUUCCCGAACAAAAUGUCAAAUCCCUAAGCAACAACAGAACAAGUAAUGAUAUUUCUAAAUAGAACAGCCUAUUAUUUAACUGCAGCCAACUAAUGGAUGGGAAACUGUAUAUAAAGAUGUUUUCAAAUUUGAGCAAACAUUAGCCCAACACCUAGUCUACUGUGUUUAAAAAGGGCAUGGAAUGCACAAGCGAAGCAAAGUUGUGUGGUAUAAAACAUAGGCCCAACAUCCAUGUUCUUUAAAAAUUGAGCAAAUAUACGGAGACUGACCUGAAGGUAUGGUUCAGUUGUGCUGCUGCAGACAUAUGGUUUAGAAUGCAUUGGUUCUGCUCCACCUUGAAUGCUUUUAUCUGGGCUGUUCAAAAUGACUGCACCUCUUGAAGGUGAUUGGAAGUUCUUUUCAGAUUCAAUUUGCAGAUGGGGAGGAUUAUCUUCUUGCUCACCUGCCAAUAAGGAAUCAGUCCCAGAAGAAAUUAAUGCUUCUUCUGUGGGAGUUUCUGACAUGAGAUGCUGUGUCAUUUUGCUUCCUGAUAAUGACAGCUGAGAGGGUGAAACCACCGCCCUUCUUGGUGUACUGUAUGCAUCCUUCAAAGGAGUGUAUGUAAACAUGCUAUGCUGAGGCUCUUCAACUUUAUCAAGGUCUACGGUCUCGUUAACCUGGCUCAACAUACUGGUGUUUAUUGAGUUCUCAUUUCCAUUGCUAUUCAUGUUAAAUAAGCUUUUCUGUCCUCUGUUGAGAUCAGGCAUAGCUGUUUGCUUCUCUAAACAAGCAGUAGGAGAAUUGGAAAAUUUGCAUUGGAGAUCUCUGUCAAUGUCAGCCAUAGCAUUUGUUAAGGGAGAAUUCACAGAUGAGUAACUUGAUAAUCUACAUUUUAAUUUUUGAAUUCCAUCGUUGACGAUAGAAGCACAGGGAGAAGGCUCAGGAAGCGUGAACCUAGAAAUGCUUUUCUGAAUUGAUGAAACCCACUCAUUAUGUUUUGUGUGUUCCGCACUUAAAAAGGAACCUGGUUGUUUUGAGGAUGGAGUCACUAUCCCUGAGUGUCUUUCCAAAUUAGGAGUAUUCGAUAACAAGAAUAUGGACCCCUCCAUCGGUGAUCUAUAAUGUUGGUCCAAAUGUUGAUCGCUAUUAUCAUUAUAUAUUUUCUCCUUAAGAGAAUGUUCUUGUACCAAGCCUUGACUCGAAUGUUGAUAAGCAGGUCCAUGCUGGACAAACACAUCAAACUGAAGUGCUUCACUAUUGACUUUUGGUAGGCCAUUGCCAUUAACAGCAGUUAACUCCAAUUUUUUCAUACCCCUUGGAGAUGCAUCUUCAGGACUAAAUUCCUUAUUCACCUGCAAGAAAACCUGUGCAUCAGUUCACCGAUAAGAAAAAACUCACGAUUAAUUUAUUAAGCACCUUACGGUUUAUUCAUUGGUGCAGUUACAUAAACAUGUACUUAAGAGAAUAAAUAUUUCAAGUUUCAACUAGAAUGCAAGCACAAAUAUUGCAUCAAUUAUGCAUACUAAACAGUUGGCAAGAAUAGGACCAGUCAUUAACUGUCAAGCAUAAUAAAAGACGUUUUUUUGAUCUGGAUCCAGUGGAAUAACGUUGAAUUGUGUAUUUCAGUAUGGAACAAGUUGACUAUGGAUAACCACAAAAUAAUGUGUUAAAAUUAAAAAUGUACAAAUGUAAUAACUAGACUACUAGACGAAUAUUUGUGGCAAUGAGACUAUCAUAAUAGUCUCCAACAAAGCCGUGGCCAUUUACUUCAGGUAUUCGACCAAACUAUCAUGGUCGACCAGAAGACUGAAAACUAAAAUUUCAGCUUCUGUUUUACAAUCCAAUAUCCAAAUAUCCAAGUUCCUAAUUUUCCACUGUCAUUACCUUCAUUCUCACAUCCCAUUUUAUUAAAGAACCCAACCAUAGAAAUUUUCAGUGUCUGUUUACCACAACCACAAAAUCCAUUUCAGUAAACAACAAAAGCUAUAAGAUCUUUGAGCCAUUAAGAGAAUUCAUUUUUGAAAUACAUAAAAUCAUAUGCACUGGGUCACUGGCAGAACUUUUUGGUUCAACAGCUUACAACAAUGCAACCACCCUCAGAACAACAACUAAAACAUCCAUCAUCAAAUCUACUAAUAUAAAAUACAGAAUGUAUGAGAUCAAACCACACCGGCAACAGUUCUAUCAAAAUCUUGAUUGCAGGAGACAUUCUUACAAUGUUUAAUUGAUUCUGGGUCUGGAUUUGGCCAUCACCAGAAUCACCAGCAGCUGAAUUAUGAUUUCCGUUAGAUGAGGUAUCGUAAGCAAUCUGCUGAAGAUAACCACCAUUUGACUCACUCAACUUGAUACGAGAAACAGAUUCUACCUCAGUAGACAAGUCAUUGGUGCUGAAAUUGCCCAUUUCAGUAGUUCUACCAUUUCUCAUGUGGCCAAUCCCAUUUUCAUCUGAUGCAGACACCUCACCCCCAUUUGGUGGCAUUGAAGUGGCUAGGACAGAAACUGAGUCAGCAUGCAUAUCCUUGCUGCCCGCUGCAAGAAGUGCAUCUAAUAUUGGAGAUAAUCUACCAUAAUCAUACUUAUGUGGAUUUUCUUCUAUGAUACUCAUGUCAUUUGAAUCUUCCCCACUUCUGACCUUAUCAGCAGGGACAGAAGACUGAAGGGUAACCAUCUUCGGUUUUGUUAAAGACAUGAGGCUUCCAGAAUCAGUAACAUUGGUAUUAUGGUUUGGUGUCUUCUCUUCAAAGGCAAGGCGAACCGCCGUUGGGGUCUUGAGAUCUCCUCCGGAGUCUGACCUUGCAAGACUAUGGUAAUGCAUUGAAAAUGCUGUAGUAUCCAAUGUAGCUUCAUGAAUGUCAUCUGAGGCCGCGGAAUCAGAUAACCGUCCUGGUCUAAUGAAAUUGGCCGAUACAGGGCCAAAGAAAUUGUCUUCUACAAAAACAAACCAUAAAAUGUGGUAUAAUUUUCGACUAAGACAUAUGAAAUUUAGACACUCAGCGAAAUUACUACAUAACACAAACAACAAGAUAACCUAUGCAGUUACAAAUUCAAUUACCGGCAUCCUUUUCGAGUUAUUUAAAGUACAGUAUAAUGUAAGCAGGAAAUUUGAAGCACCAAUUACAUAAGCCAUUAAGUACUAACAUCCUCUAAAGAAUCUUCCUUUACUUUCCUAAUUGUGUAUUAAUUACUAAUUAAUCAAAAAAUAAGAUAAAAUUUAUAGCUUACCAUCAUUAGAGGUAGCAGAGCCCGGAACACUACUCCCAGGAGAGGGCGAUCCAAUUGGCCUGAAAAACGACUUUCUCCCGUCGUCGUUUUUGUCAUCGUUAUCGGAAUCCCUAAAAUCGUCGCUGUCACCGCCCAAGUCCCUAAAAAACCCUAUCACCGGGUUCUCGGCAUGUUCGAAGUCUUUUUGAGAGCUGGAUUGGGGCUUGGGGUCCGGAGGUGUGUCGUAGUCCUCGUCGCGGUUGAAGAUGUGGACGGAUGUGAUCUCGGUGUCGGCGAAGCUCACGCGGCGGGAGCGCUUCUCCUUGAUUCUUAGGGCUAUUGUUUCCGGUUCGGUCUCGGAGUAGCAGGGCUCAUCGGGGGUGUUGGAGGCCAUCGGAAAUGGAGGAAUGGGAGAGGGAGAGUGGGGAAAUUAGGGUUUGCAGUUUGAAUUUGGACGGAGUAGUGCGCUGUGUGUCAGUCAGUCACUGUGGGACUGUGGAGCGGGAGAGAGAGAGAAUGGAGGGAAAAUUAUUUUAAUGGUUUAAAAAUAGGGUAAUUUAACGAAAAUGGUUUACUUUAAUGAAAAUUUAUUUUUUUAAUAAAAAAUUAAUUUUAAUACUAUUAAUUUUAUCUUUUAUUUUAUCUUUAUAAUUAAAAUUCAAAAUUUUCAAAAUAUUUUUAUUUUUAUUUAAAAAUGUUUUAUUUAUUUACUAUGAGUCAUUUGACUCGUUUUUUGUUUUGAAUUUUCACUGUUCUAGUUUUUGUAUAAUUGCAAUUUUGUCCCUCGAAAGCUUUUUGUAAUUCUUCCUUCCAAAUUUCCAACGAUAGAAGGAAUCUCAUGUUCAUAAUUAGUUUACAUAAUUUUCCACUUGCAAGUGUGCGGUUUUAAUUUUGACUCAUAUAGAUAAUGAGUUUAAUAUCUAAUUAUUAUUUCUGAUCCAUUAUGAAACUUGAGUUAAAUUCUUCUAAAACUCAAUUUUGCAUCACACAAUUAAACCAGGCUCUACAAAAAUGAUGACUUACAAGUUGGACUAAGUGAAUGGUACUACACAUCAACAUAUGAUCGAGUCACUAGAUACUAAUAAAUAAGUAAGAGCCACCUCAAUAGAAAGAAAUGAUUACCAUCAAAACCAGUGUUCUAAAAGUGAGUCAACGACAUAAGUUUCGUGCUAUAUAAAUGAUAUGGUAUGUAAGAUCAGUCAUAUAUCAUGCUCGCCUUGCAAUCAUCGUUACUUCCUCCCAAGCCGCUGCAAGUAUAUAUGCAAGUUAUGAGCUCAGAAAAUGCAAGAAGGGGGAGGAUUGCCUGGGAUGGGCUCGAUUUCGAUUAAUAUCAACUAAUUAACAAUUUGUAUCCUAAAUGUAGUGCUUAAUUAGCGAUUAAUUUGUUAAUGAAUCUAGGGAUGUUGGGACUCUUGGGAGUGGUGAUUUUUCUAUAAAAAUGACAUACUGUGGAGUUUGCUAUGCUGAAGUGGUUUGGACAAGGAACAAAGAUGGAGAUGCCACCUACCCUUUAGCCUUGGUUUGGUAUUAGGAUGAUUUUAAAAAAGUGGGUAUAAAAAAAAAUUGGGAACUUUUUUGUGUUUGGUAAACUUUCAACGUUUGUUUUUUUUCACAGUUUUGAGUGAAAAAAGAAACCAAAAAACAGAAGCAGUAAAAUGCAGCUUUGAAAAACCGGCUUUUCAGCUUAUGCGCAAACCUCUUUUCUAAGAGGCGCUGAGCGCUUAAUGAAACUUUCAUGUACCCAAAAUGACAUUAAGCAAUUACAUAAUUUACUAUCACACAAGAUGGAAUUACCAACAAUCCAGUUGAACUAACAAAAUCCCAUAUGAAAUUACCAACAAUUCGAAGCUCGAACACUCACCUUCCAUGCCGAGACUAGAUAUUUUAUUGAGGUCGUUCAAGAUCGUGAGGCCAUACUACAAGACCUUGGAGCUGUGGACCUUGAGCUUUUGGACCAAGCAAAGCUAUCCCAGACCCCUCCUCCAUUAUCGACCUAGUUUUUGAAUGUGCGAUCUGACCUGCCAACGAACCAUCCAGCACAGAGGAAAUUUUUCUUUAGGAUUUCAAUUGAGAAAGAAAGAUAUCGCAUGGAGAGAGGAAGAUUAAGAAAGAAAAUGUGAAAUGGGUUGGAGCGGCGGAAAGGAUGAGAAUGGGAAAGAAAAAGAGCCAUGUGAGAGAAAGAGAGUUUGGGAGAUGCUUCUAGAAAAAUGUGGACUGAUUUUAAUUAUGAUAAUAAAACAUAAAAAGAUAGAGAUUUUAAAUAAUAAACUAGUUUAAAUUUUUUUAUAAAAUAACCAUUAGUGUUGGAGAUGCUUAUGAUAAAGAGUAAUAGUUGUAUAGUAAAUAGAUAUUAUAAAUGUAGGAUUAUGAUUUUUUGUUAAACGUUAGAUUAUAUAUUUAAGAUAAAGUUUAUAAAUAUUUUUCUUUUAAAAAUAAAGUAUAUUUAGUAAUUCACCUUUAUUUGUUAAGAAAAUUAAAUUAAUGGCACAUCUAGUAUUAUACCAUUUUUGGUCAUUUCACACAGUUACAAUUGUUUUACAUAAAAGUUUACCAAACACUAUAAUACUGCAUUUUUUUUUUCCAAAAGCAUUUUUGCAAAAAAGUUUACCAAACACUCUGCUGUUUUAUUUCACAGCACAGCAGAAGCAGUUUUUUUUUCAAAGCACAGCAAUACCAAACCAGCCCUUAGUGCCUUGGUACGUAUAUAUGUUCAUCCAUUAACUCACUAUUUUAUUUUAUCAUAUGAUUAGUUCUUAAUUAACUAUUGAUUAAUGUACAAAUUACAGACAUGAGAUUGCCGAUGGUCCGAAUAAUGUUCUCGGAUUCAAAGUUGGUGAUCAUGUCGGAGUUGGAACUCUUAUUAAUUCAUGCAGAAGUUGUGAUUAUUGUAAUGACGUUCUUUAAGUUUAAUGUGAAGGAGUUGUUUAUACUUACAACCGUCUCGACAUCGAUGGUACCAUGACGAAGGGUGGAUUUUCCACUUACAUCGUUGUCCAUGAAAUGUGUUGUGUCACCUCAUGAGAAGUUGUUUAAUUUGAUAGUUAUACUAUUACCAACUAAUCGUGUUACUAAUUAAUCAGCAUGUUGCAAUGUUCCAUAUUUAUUACUCUUUGUUAAUUAAAAUGCUAGGUGGUGUAGUCUGAAUGGGUAACAAUUACAAAAAAAAUUAGAAAAUAGUUAGAGUUGGUCUUUGACUUUGUCCAGUGGGAGUUGGAGAGAGAAACUCAUUUUUUUUGUUUAGAACUUCGGUGUGCCUUAGCCCUUAGGCGCACCUUGACCACGUUUAGGCAAGUUUAAGCCUUCUCCCAUUGGGCAGAGGCAUUUCCACCAACGCCCCACCUCCAAAGCCGGCUAGGAGCACCGCGAGCCGUGUUUUUUAAAACACUGAUUCCGUUAAACAAAAAUUCAAAUGAGUAAUAACAUUAGUAGUCAUAUAUAAGUGAUCAGUUGAUCUUAAUUUACAUAGAAAAUAACUUAUUGUAAAUCAUUAGCUUAGUGCACAAGAAAGUGGAACAAAUUGAGGUGAAGUCAAAUAAGCUGAAACAAUUUGCCUACUUCUAGCUUAGGAAGCCUUGACUACAAUUGGACUCCUCACUUAGUGUUUACCAUCUGACCGUAUCAACUUCCCAAACACAUAGUUUUUAGCUUGUUUUGCUUCUUUAACCUGCAGGAGUACCUUAAAGCUCUUCUCUUCACCAAUCUUCUUGAACUUCAACUUCUUUGGCUCAACAGAAACCGAUACCCCAUCCGGGCUUUGGAUAUACGCCUUAUAUGUUCCUGGGGAGCCAACAUUUUUCACUGUUCUAGUCACCUCAAGGGAUCCAGAGAGUUUAGGGAUAGUGAUUGAGGGGUAGUUGAGGUUAGUGGGACUAAUAGCUGGUUUGGGGCACUCAUACGUAUCCUCUGAAAACAUUUCCAUUUCUGUUUCGUUGUAGCCCAUUGCGCACAGGAAGUUCAAGUAAUCGUUAAGGGAUAAAUCAUAUACCAAUCCAGGAUCCAUAGCACUGUUUGGGUCAACAUGUCCUGCACCGUAACUAAAUGGUGUUGCCUCAUAGAAAGAAGCAUUGAGCAAUGGUCCCAUGCUGUUAUCUCGUGUUAUCGCUGUGUAACACAAGAUUUGAAAGAAAAUAUCAGAAAGACGAGUAAUGGUCUCUUGAGACAGACGUUAAUGUGGAGCGAAUACAUAAAUGACCGUGCGUAGGGACUUCUUACCGGUGGUCAUGAUUGCAGAUUUAAUGGCUGCAGGACUCCAAUGAGGAUAGAGGGUUUUAAGAAGGCCACAAAUGCCGGAAAUAUGUGGACACGACAUUGAUGUGCCUGACGCUGAGUUGAAUGGAAUUCGCCGUUGGUCAAACAUUUGAUUUGUUGGCCCUCGUGCUUUCGUGUAGGCUGCUAUGACACUCACUCCAGGCGCAGUGAUAUCUGGCUGAAUUAAUGUACAACAACACUUACUGAAUACUUGGCCAAAUCAGCAAAAAUAUGUGGAGUUUGUUUAAUGACCAGAAAUUGUGUUUGCUAAUAAAAAAACCUUAAGGAUGCCUGUAAUGGUGUUGGGUCCCUUUGAUGAAAAUGGUGCCAUGAAUGGAGAGGGCUUUGUUCCCAGUUCUGUUAUUGCACGCUUUAUGUAAGCCCGCGGAGACCUGUCAAGAUAUGCAAGUUUCUCAACUAGUAAUUUUACCAAAAACUUGAUAUUGCUGACACUGCGGUGAAGCACCCUAACAUAUGAAACAGACGCAGUCUAAAACAGGCAAUUUGGAGGGUACUUCACCCAUCUUACUUAGUUGAAUUGAUAUAAGCAAAGACAAGGAUGCCGUCCGUGAAAUUGAUAUGUGAAGCAGGGAGGACAUGUGGAUCAGAAAUAAUUUCAUUCCCGUUAAGAGCAUUGUUAGCAAGAAUCAUUCCCACGGCGCCAGCCAGUAAGGCUUGCUCACCCUUGUCUACUUUUGCGUUGUCCCCUCGCAGGCAGGCCAAGAUCUUUCCCUUCACUUUUUUAGGAUCCAGCGUGCCGGCCUUGCAUAGCAGACUGCAGCAUCAUAUAAGCAGAUUACUAAGAACUUGAAUAUAAUUUUAGUAUAAUGAAAAUCGGAAGAUUGAUGUUGCCUAUCCUUACGCUUCUUUAGCUGAUGCAUUAGCUGCUUUAGCAUCCGCAGCACUAAUAAGUUGGUAAAAUUUCUUGCCCCGCAAGGCAACAGACGACAAGCUUUGUCCCUUCAGAACAAAGUAGAUUAAACUUAAUAUGGAUUUGAGUAGCUUUGCAGGAUAUAUAACAUAAGUUCCCAUAAGACACCCUAACAUGUCUUAUUAUGUAUACGAUAAAAAGGGACGGCUAACGAUUUUGGCACUCGUCUUCUGUCCAUCUGCACUCCGAAUUGAAUAUUUUAUAAUUUAUUGUUUCUGCACUCACAGGUGAAGUACAAAGACUAAACGAGGAGUGUUAAAAUCAUUAGUCGGGAAAUGGACUAUAACCAACCUUGAGGUGCUUCCAGUUGCCGAGGGUGACAUAACUCGGAAACUCCCUAUCCAUAGUACUGGCGCCGACUGUGAUCUGCCACGGUGAUAUAUUCGAGACAGUACCUUCAGCCGGACCAGAAUUCCCCGCUGAGCAAACCACAACAAUGCCAUGCUUAACAGCAUGAAAAGCACCAAUUGAAACACUGUCACUGAAGAAUGUAGUAGGAUCUCCACCCAGUGAAACGGACAACACAUCAACACCGUCAUCGAUGGCCGCAUCAAAUGCAGCCAAUAUAUCUGCAUGAAAACACUUAGUUCCAUCCACUGGAGGCCAGCACACCUUAUAGGCUGCAACCCUGGCUUUUGGUGAUCCACCCUUUGCUGUUCCAUUUCCAAAGCCGAACACGCUCGCACCGGUUACAAAAUUGCCCCCAGCGGUUGACAAGGUGUGGGAGCCAUGGCCAUCGUCGUCACGCGGCGAAUUGAAAGAGGAGUUGAGGGGACCAGCAGCUGCAGCAUAGCCCUUGUUGAAGUAUCGUGCUCCAAUAAGCUUCCUUUCAUGCCAAAAAGUUUGUUACCAAAUGAGUUACAAAGUUACCACUAUAUAACAAAUCAAAAACCUUAAUUUACAAUAUGACACAUAUUUUGAAGAAUAUAAAAUCCCUCGUCACAAAGUUUUAUAGAUAAAAUGCAACUUACAAUGGGUGAUUCUACUACUAAUAGCAUCGAGACUUUUUGUAUAAAAUAUCACACCCGUUUGUAUGUAUAUGUAAUUAAAUUAAAGAUUAUACCAGUAUUGAUUAAUAGUGAACUGCUAGCAAAAUACAUUUGUUAGGGCAUUUUAGAUGAACUGAGGACUACUGCAUACAUGCAGAUCAUAAACUACAUCAAGACAACGGUCAUGUUCUGGACCUGUCUUCUCUCCCAUUAUUUUUUUUUUAUCAUAACUGAAAUUUCCAUUACGGUUAAACAAACAGAGCACAAGAGUUUUGGAGGAGCAAAGGGAAGCCUCAUUAAAAAGCUCCAAAGAAGAGGGAAAAAGAGUGCUUCACCAACUUGCUCACCACUUAAUUACAAUUAGGGACAAAGAGUGCUUCUCCCAUUAUUAAAACAUAAUUUGUUUGCUUAAUCUAAAGAAAUCGUUGUAUAGUAUGGACAAUGUUAGGGAGACUAAAUGUAGGGGCUAAAUUUUAUAAACUAAAUGAUGUGAAAGUUGAUAAUGAGAUUAUUACUUAAGUGUUAAUUAACGUGCUUAUUUCUUAUUGAUGAUACAUAAUUUAGUUUGCGAAUUUAGUCUAUCUAACAUUACUCUUAUAAUGUAUAUGUUUUCUUUUACCGUCUUUCUUUGGACUACAAGCAGUGAAAGUGUAAUAGAAUAGUGACUAGAAGUUGGAUUUUUGAUGAAGUAUUUGACUACAAUAGCUUGGUUAAUUUAUUGUCCUAUAGAAUAUGUCUUUUUCAAAUAUUAAGCAAGUUCAUUUGGGAAGGUAUCAGUGGUCUUACCCAAGUCAAAAGAGCAGGAAGAGGCAUAAUAGCCAUCAACCGGAAGCAGUGCAGAAAUAGGAGAGCUUGUCUCAGCAAGUAAUUGGGAUUGCCGAUGAGGAAAGAGUACACACCUCUUAUUUUUUGGUGGAUCGAAUAAAUUCAAGAAGAUUAAUAAACAAAACUAACAAAGAUGUGUUAAAGAUAACACUACUCGUUUUCCUACUACCACUAAUAUAAUAUUCACAUCCAACUUAACGGAUGUAUGAGACUGUUCCAAAAAUAAGACUUGAGGUAUGACUCUGAGAUGAAAAAAAUUUCAUGUACCAAAUGUUGAAAACCACGAAACUUCAGGAUAGUAAACUGAGAUUAACCUUAAAAAAAAUUGUGAAUAACACUAUCCGUUUUCCUACUACCAAUAAUAUAAUAUUCACAAAUAUUUUUGUAAUCCACUAUGCCACAAUAAAACUACAUCAUCUUAAUUGAGCUAACCAUCAAAGACCUCCUCUAGACCACAUGCUAGUGCGGGAUUUUGUAAACUUUUAAAUAAGAUAAUUGAUUAGAAAUUUAGAUGUAGUUUUCAAAUAUGAAAAUAAUUAACAAAAAAUGAAUCAAAUUAUAAUCUUAUUACAUGCAUCUCAAUUUAUUUGCAGUUCUAGGUUUCUAGAAUAAGAAUGGCCGCAACUUUAUGAGAAAGUCUCGUACGAAUCCUGCUUUAUAGAUGCCAUUUGCUCCGCUACAAAAGGGGAUAACCUUGGUUGGAUUGGACCAUCCAAGUUUAAGAUAAACUGGGACUGAUUACACAGAACAAAGAAGAAUAUCUCUUUUUUUUUUUUUUUCUUUUCCAAUUUUAACACUCGCGUUUUAACAAUAAAUAUAUAUUUAUUUUAAUUUUUAUAAAGCGAUAUUCUAAAUUACUUUAAUUUAAGAGAUAUGAAUUUAAACUCGAACGCAAGAGACAUUGACACACUACAGUGCCUAACUCACAUAUGUAUCAACGAGCGUAUUUUGUUUAACUUAUACCAAGAUACUUUUUUAACAUUUGAUUCUUAAUGUUGUAGAAAAGGAAACAGAAAGUAAACUAAUCUCAAUUAGAAAAUAAUCAUAAAAUAGUGGGUACCUGUUGCAGUGAAAUUCAGAAUCUAUCUCAUUUUGGCAGAUUCCUUUCCACUUGGAUGGAAUCGGUCCAUACCCUUCAUCACUAAAGCUCUUGGAUUCUGGCCAUGCGCCUACAACCCCAUUCAAGAACACUAGGGUUACCAAUGCUCCUUACAAAACAAUCGAAACUCUUUUUUUGUGUGAAAUAUUUUUAAAAUCCAGCUAAAAAAAGGUACCAAUAUUGCAAUAAGGACAGUCGAGUGCAAGUCUAGGGGUUUUUUUUCCCUCUUCAAAUGAGAAAUUUGAAAGUCUCUGAUUAUAUAUGGGAAGAUUUUUCAGUGAGCUCGGAAUACGGAGCGAUACGAUAUGUUAUUAUACAAUCGAAGAGACACUUAAAAUAAAUAAAAAAAACUACAUUUCAAUUGUAUGAUGACAUGUGUUGUACUGUCUCGUAUUUUGGACACACCGAAAAAUUUCUCCUAUAUAUAGGGGUUUUUGGGUACUUAAUUGUGAAAAACGAUGCGUUAAUAAAUUAAGAGGGAGCUAGGCAAAUGCUAAGAAUUAGCUAGUUGUUAUACAACAAUAUGUUUACAAAAAAUGACCAUAAUUAUAUUAAUGCGAAAAUAAAUUGAUAUCCAAAUCAUUGUCUAUGAGUGAAAAUAAAUACAAUUGCACAAGUUGUUAAAAUUAUACUAAUGGUGGUCCAAAAGACCAAAACUACAAAAAGACCAUAAUUAGAGUUAAACCGUCUUGAGGGAAGCCUUAGAAGCUUUGUUUAAAAAAGAAUUAUAUUGCUAUUCGAUACUACGCUAUAGUGAUAUUCCUUUUCACUUGGAAAUGAGAUAUUUUAGGCUCGAUUCUUGCCAAAGGCGAGUAUGAACCACAUUAUUGCUAGUACAUUGUAAGGUUAAGCCCAUCCAAAAAGAAGUUUUGAACCAACAACGUAUGAGUAAUUAAAACACUGAAUAAACCGGAUACCACGGUCACCACAUGCAAAGUUAACAAUACUAGCUAAUAAUUAAUUUUAGAAGGAGUUGCCUCCCUAAAUGUUUUGUCAUAUACAUGUACGUGUAUUAGUGGAAGAAUAAAUUGGUCAAAUAUAUCAGCACGAAACUAAUUGGUCAAAUAAAUCAGCAAGAAAUUUGUUUUUAAAAUUUAAAAAAAAAAGCAAAGAACAAGAUAAACCUACCAGUAUCAAGGUUUCCUAUGAUUGAAUCUUCACCGUAUCUUGCCUUCUUCCAGAUUGAAUUGGGUGAAACAACACCAUCUUGCUCAAGUCCCAAGAAAUCCCACGAUCGAGUGUGUGUAAUUUUCUUCCCUGGUUCAAGAAUACUGAGACUACCUUUGGAUGCUCUACAGUGUUUCAAUGGCAGCAUAAGAAAAGAGAAAACUGAGGAGAAAGAAAAACAAAGAGAAAACUUAGGAAAAAAAGAAAUAGCAGAAAUAAAAUUCUCACUAGCAAUCUGAGCUGCCUCUUCUUCUUCUAGUGUAGCAGCAAAGCCAUUGAUGUGCCUUGUGUAUGAGUAAAACAUGGAUUCUUUUGCAACUUCAUGGCUGCAUUUUUGCAGAAAAAGCUCAAACAUUUGAUCGGCUAAAGACGGUGUUUAUGUAUUUUAGUUGGAAAUAUGUGUUUAAGUACCUGCCCAAGAAGGAACCAAGAAACUCAUGGUGAUUGUCUGUGACUUGGUUUAGUUCAAGUUCUGACAAGUUUGGGGGAUGUGAGUGUGAUCCCAGGUAUACCACAUAUGACUGCAGAAACAGUAGAAAGAACCCAAAAAAAAAAAAAGAAAAAAUCGUCACAAGUACUAGUGAAAUGCAAGGGAAGGUACUUUGCUUUUUUGUUGUUGCAGUUUUUAAUGGAGGGAGACGAGAAUGAAUGCUUACCUUUUUUAUGGCAAAGGUGGGGGUAUGGAGUACUAGAGAGGAGAGAAGGAAGGAGAGGAGGUAAAGGGCUGCGGUUGGUGGACUCAUUGCCUGGCUCAUUGACCCUUGUUUUCCUGCCUUUUGUGGAACACAAACUUUGGUUUUUAUGGUUUUUUUUCAGACUUCCAAUAUAUGUUGGAGAAAGAAGCUGGCCAACUUGAGAUAUGCAAUGCCCGAUGUGGUAUGGUAUUAGCCUAACUGGAUAAUGUAAAUUUAAGAGAAGGAGAAGAAAGAAUGCUAUUUAUACUUGAUAGAGUGAAUAAACAGUGCAGGAGAGAAGAACAGUUAAUAUAGGAAGAGAUAAUGCAUAUUUGACCUAGGGUUAGGUGUUGAUACAUUUAAACGAUAUAAAUUAAAAUAAAACAAAAAAUAAACAGUUAGAGAAAGUGGUGAUUGAUAAGGUAAUAGUGGGGAUUAGGAUUAGGGUAUUAAAUAAUUAAAUCUUAUUGACAAUAGGGGCGGUUGUUUCCCCUACUAGUUAUUAAAAUUAAUAGCUGGAAAUUAUUCCCAUAUUAAGGGCUGAUUUAAACGCCCCUAAUAGAACUAAUAGGGGCAAAUAAUAAUUCUGCAUCUAAUAGAGGCGAAUUCUUCCAUUUGCCCCUAGUUGAUCGCAUCUAAUAAUCAUUUUUCUUGUAGUGGCACUACAAAACUUAGAACAAGUAGAGGCUAAAACAUUUGCAUCUAUUAGUUAAAAAUAGGGGCAAAAAAUGAAGAUUUCUGCACUUAAUAGUAAGGAGGGGCGGAUAUUAAAUUUGCACCUAAAAAAGGCGUUGCUAUUGAUAAAUAGAGACAAAAGGGUACAUAUUUCUGCCCCUAAUAGUUAUUAUGCCAUGUAGGCAAGUGCAACAUGGAAAAAACAUUUGUUCCUAUCCACUACACGAAUCUCGAAAUUGAAACUCAUCUAACGGUGAUAAAUAAGAUGGUAAGCAUACACCACACUAAAUGGUGGUGAGCAAAAAUGCUCCCGAUUAUUAAGGCCCCUACUUUAAUAUUUGUAUUUAAUUGAGUUUUUAUGUCAUAUUGCAUUUUGGAAAUUGUUUUAAUUGAGAAACGAUUUCCAUUCCACCAUUAAUAUUAUUUGAUACGUAUUCUCACAUUUUCAAAGUCUAAGUAUAUUUAUAAUUCUUUUUAGUUCUUCAAAAAUUAUUAUUCAAAACUAAUAUCAUCACCAACCCGGAUGAAGAAACAAGAACCAUUGCCAACAAAUUAAUAUUUAAGUUACAUUCUUCAACUGAUUAGAUACAAAUGUUACAUGAUAGGAGUGCGAUGAAUACAUACAAAUCCACCCCAGUACAUAAGGUUCUCUAGAAGUUCUCUCCAAAUCUAAAUCUAAUCAAAGACUUAAUCCCUUGAUUCAAACACAUAACAUGAUUAAAAGUCUGUCUUCAAUCUCCCCUUGAUGCAUAUGAAAAGUAUGUGUUCCAUAUCUCCUUGAUAAUCAAAGAAGCCGGCCAAUUUGGGAUAUGCAAUGCGGUUGGUGGAUGUCGUAUACGACGUAUAGUAUUAAGCCUAACUGGAUAAUGUAAAUUUAAUAUGUAUCUAGAUAUAUUGAGUAAAAUGAGGAGUUUUCAUAUUUCAAAGAAGGGCACAAGGUCAAUGAUUCCAUAUACACCUUAACGGCCAAAUCAUUACACGAUUAUUUGUAGGCAUGAGUGCCUGACUGAUAUGACAUAAAUUUGUAAUAUAAUAUUUAAAAUUAGACAAGCAUAUUAUGACAUAAUUACUAAUUUAUAAUACUAUGUGCUCUGUUGACCGUCAAAGCAGAAGCUUCUGCAAUAUAUAUUUGGAGGGUCAAAGCAGAAGCUUCCAUCUCAAAUCAGAACUUUUCUUGGUGGCCUAAGCAUUUAGCACAAAACCAGAUGCAACCUGAACAUCCAUGUUUGGGAAUUCCUGAUGUCCAAAAAAUUUAAAAAAAAAACUAAUGAAAAUAUUUUGAAAACUUUGAGUUUUAACGAUUAAAACAAAAUAAAUGGUAAAAUGAAUAGUACCAUGAUUGACUUUCUAGUGUAAAAAUGUGGUUUUUCGUUAAAGUGAACAGUACCGAGAAUUUUUCGUUAAAGUUCACAAAAAUUUAAGCAUUUAGAAAAGAAAUAACAAAAUAAACAACUUAUUGACUUCAGUACCUUUGAGAUUUUUAUAUAAUUGAAACCGUGUGAGAUGACUAUGUUUGACGUUGGGCCCACAUUACCCGUAAACCUGUGUCUCAUCAACGUGAAAUCACAUGCCAUGCUUGAAUUUGGUAAUAAGAAAGAAAAUACAUGACUCAGCCAAAAGAACAGCCAAAGAGAAGAAGAAAAAACCUCUGCAAGACGUAACCAUGAUAACUGAGAAGAAUUUUGUAAUGGCCAUUCUUAAUCUCAAAAUGAUCAACUUUCCGUAGCUGUUGAAAUCACAGGUCUCUUAGUGACAAUAGACAUUUUGUUUCGUGUCUGAAAAGUCAUAUCAUGAAUAGAAAUAACCUGCAAAUCAUGACAAAUAAUCCUGCAAACAUGUUCUUGUCUUGAGAUGAUGUUGAAAUAAAGAUAUAGUAUCAGCGCAACCUGGUUCUCCUUUCAACUUGCGUGAAAGUAAUUGCUUAAGCUUUUUACAUCUCUGUCCAAAGCUUUAAGCUCCUGCCUCAUUGUGCUUACAUUAUCACAGGAAGCCUGGCAAUAAAAAGGAAUAUAUAAACAAAAAUCAUGACCUGAAACUGGGUUAUCUUCACAUAAUUAUUUUUUGUAAUAUCUAUGAGCUGAACUGGUUGUUUGAGAAAGGCAAAGGAAGAAGAACUGUUUUCUUAUGCUGUAUUCAUCUUAUAUAAUCUUCUGGGGCGUUUAUAACAGAAACCUGAUUAAUAUAUUCCCAAUAGAGUAGGGUCUGCCUAGUAAAUAAAAUCACAUUUCUAUCGCAAAUACAAAAUCUCAUGCAUUUAAAAAUAAAUAAAUAAAGAAUCAUUUACCUUGCUUUGGAGUUACAAUAGAUUUCUCUAGUUUACAAUCUUUGUAACAGUUUUCUUAAGUGUUUAAAAUCCUUUUGUUAAAAAUUAGAGGAAAACCAGAACAGAUAAUUUGGCAAGACCAGACAGAUAACAUGGCAAGAACAAUACUGAAGCUACGAUUGCAGGGACAAGACAAUGGUAAAUGGAUCACCAAUCUUAGAAUUGAUGAUUACCUCUUGUUCACCCUCAGAAUUAACUAAAGAGGAUUGACUAUGAUUAUCAUCAACAUGAGUCUCCCAUUCACUAGGUUCAGACUGACAACGGAUGUAAUUUAAUUUCAGCAUCUGAGACUUCUGAAUUGCAGAGCUUAAGAGCUGUACUCUACUCUGCAGGCAAGUAUAAGUCCAGGUGACAAACUGUAUGCAUAUCCGGAGAUGAAAAACAUAAGAGAGCCAACCUUAAUUAAUUAUUUUUUUUAAAAUACAAACCUGUCAUUUUUCACGCUUCACUUGCAUUAAAUGCAAUUUUGCCUUUUCAUACACUAUUUUAUAAAGCAGCAGUCUUGCUUCAGCUACUCUGCAAAGGUUAAUGUCAAUGCUUAUCAAGCUAAACCGCAUUCUUGGACACGUAAGAAUCUAAACUACAUAAUCAUAACAGGCAUGAUGAAAGACACCACCUUUUAUGCCCAACAUUGAGGCAGUCGAACUUCUGUACACAUUAAAUACCAGUGUUAGCAUAAAAAUUGAUAGUGUAGAUGCUCUAUAGAUUUAAAGAAUGCAAUGUGGUCCGACUAUACUAUGUAAACAUGUCCGUAACAGACCCUGAUUGAUCAUUUAAUUCAGCAUAUGUGAGACUGGACUUCAAUAGGUGGACCAGCAUAUCUUCCAGCACACCAAUCUACUUGAUCAUGAUAAAACAGCAAUGUGAACCAACAUGAGACACAUAACAAACUUAAGCAUAAGAUGGUUAAUUCUAUCACCCAGAUUAGAUUUUUCUUGGGAGAAAGUAAUAAUAAAAGAAAGGGAUAUACCGCUCUUAAAUUUAGUUUGCUUGCCAAUCGAGAUUCUGUAUCUCCUGAGAAUUUUACUAAAAUCUGCAAGAAGGAAAUCUGAAGAAAAUAGCAUAUCUGCCAGAGAACCUGGCUAUUCAAGUGGACUAAAACAAAACAAGAAAUAGUACACAAAUCAGUCCAGCACUGCCAUGUUGUAUCACCCCCACACUUCUGUCUGUCAUCGUAACGUUUAUUUGACUGAUGCAGCAUGAACUCUGGAUUGCAGUUCUCAAUUCUGGGAACUUUUGGACUUUUCUGGAUUCUGGGGAUCGUAUUUGUACAGUAUCCAUCCUCAGAGAUUAUUCCUAGGUUUUGUCGUUUCUGUCCGACAGAAUUCUCUGAAUCUUUCCCUGUAAACGGAUUUUGUGAAAUAUGCAGUCCCUGAUAACAACCAUCACUAGGAUGACUAUUUGAAUUGGACUCAUGAUAUACUAGGUCCUUCCCAGCAAAGGGUUGCACAUUCUCAGUGUCUGCUGCACAAGAUAAAUCCAGUCUGGAGGGGCUAUUUGUUGACUCUUUUCUUGAGGGAAUCCGAUUCAUAUCUUUUAUGAAGGGACUACGAAUUGGCUCUUUCACAGUAGGACUUCGAAUUGGGUCUCUCACGAUUGGACUUCGAGUUAGCUCUUUCACAAAGGGACUUCGAAUUGGUUCUUUUCCAGGACUCUGAGUAAGUUCUUUUCUGGGAGGACUCAGAGUUGAUUCUUUCCUGCAGGGACUCUGACUUGGCGCUUUCCUGAGGGAACUCUGAAUUGCCUUUCUCCCGGUAGAGUUGAGAGUUGGAUUCUCCUGGGGUGGACUCUGAAUUGGCCCUUUCAUGGAGGGGUUCUCAGCUGACUCUUUACUGGAAGGGCUCUGCAUUGACCAUUUCCAGAACAAAAUGUCAAAUCCCUAAGCAACAACAGAACAAGUAAUGAUAUUUCUAAAUAGAACAGCCUAGUAUUUAACGGCAGCCAACUAAUGGAUGUGAAACCGUAUAUAAAGAUGUUUUCAAAUUUGAGCAAACAUUAGCCCAACACCCAGCCAACUGUGUUUAAAAAGGGCAUGGAAUGCACAAGCGAAGCAAAGUUGUAUGGUAUAAAAAAUAGGCCCAGCAUCCAUGUUCUUUUAAAAAUUGAGCAAAUACAUGGAGACUGACAUGAAGGUAUGGUUCAGUUGUGCUGCUGCAGACAUAUGGUUUAGAAUGCAUUGGUUCUGCUCCACCUUGAAUGCUUUUAUCUGGGCUGUUCAGAAUGACUGCACCUCUUGAAGGUGAUUGGAAGUUCUUUUCAGAUUCAAUUUGCAGAUGGGGAGGAUUAUCUUCUUGCUCACCUGCCAAUAGGGAAUCAGUCCCAGAAGAAAUUAAUGCUCCUUCUGUGGGAGACAUGAGAUGCUGUGUCAUUUUGCUUCCUGAUAAUGACAGCUGAGAGGGUGAAACCACUGCGUUUCUUCGUGUACCAUACGCAUCCUUCAAAGGAGUGUAUGUAAACAUGCUAUGCUGAGGCUCUUCAACUUUAUCACGGUCUGUGGUCUCGUUAACCUGGCUCAACAUACUGGUGUUGAUUGAGUUCUCAUUUCCAUUGCUAUUCAUGUUAAAUAAGCUUUUCUGUCCUUCGUUGAGAUCAGGCAUAGCUGUUUGCUUCUCUAAACAAGCAGUAGGAGAAUUGGAAAAUUUGCAUUGGAGAUCUCUGUCAAUGUCAGCCAUAACAUUCUUUAAGGGAGAAUUCACAGAUGAGUAACUUGAUAAACUACAUUUUAAUUUUUCCAUUCCAUCGUUGACGAUAGAAGCACAGGGAGAAGGCUCAGGAAGCGUGAACCUAGAAAUGCUUUUCUAAAUUGAUGAAACCCACUUAUUAUGUUUUGUGUGUUCUGCACUUAAAAAGGUACCUGGUUGUUUUGAGGAUGGAGUUUCGACUAGAAUGCAAGUACAAAUAUUGCAUCAAUUAUGCAUACUAAACAGUUGGCAAGAAUAGGACCAGUCAUUAACUGUCAAGCAUAAUAAAAGACAUUUUUUUUUAUCUGGAUCCAAUGGAAUAACGUCGAAUUGUGUAUUUCAGUAUGGAACAAGUUGACUCUGGAUAUGCAACCACAAAAUAAUGUGUUAAAAUUAAAAAUGUACAUAAUGUAAUAACUAGACUGCUAGACGAAUAUUUGUGGCAAUGAGACUAUCAUAAUAGUCUCCAACAAAGCCGUGGCCAUUUACUCCAGGUGUUCGACCAAACUAUCAUGGUCGACCAGAAGACUGAAAACUAAAAUUUCAGCUUCUGUUGUACAAUCCAAUAUCCAAAUAUCCAAGUUCCUAAUUUUCCACUGUCAUUACCUUCAUUCUCACAUCCCAUUUUAUUAAAGAACCCAACCAUUGAAAAUUUCAGUGUCUGUUUACCACAACCACAAAAUCCAUUUCAGUAAACAACAAAAGCUAUAAGAUGUUUGAGCCAUUAAGGGAAUUAAUUUUUGAAAUACAUAAAAUCAUAUGCACUGGGCCACUGGUAGAACUUUUUGGUUCAAGAGCUUACAACAAUGCAACCACCCUCAGAACAACAACUAAAACGUCCAUCAUCAAAUCUACUAAUGUAAAAUACCGAAUGUAUGAGAUCAAACCACACCGGCAACAGUUCUAUCAAAAUCUUGAUUGCAAGAGACAUUCUUACAUUGUUUAAUUGAUUCUGGGUCUGGAUUUGGCCAUCACCAGAAUCACUAGCAGCUGAAUUAUGAUUUCCGUUAGAUGAGGCAUCGUAAGCAGUCUGAUGAAGAUAACCACCAUUUGACUCACUCAACUUGAUACGAGAAACAGAUUCUACCUCAGUAGACAAGUCAUUGGUGCCGAAAUUGCCCAUUUCAGUAGUUCUACCAUUUCUCAUGUGGCCAAUCCCAUUUUCAUCUGAUGCAGAUACCUCACCCCCGUUCGGUGCCAUUGAAGUGGCAGGGACGGCAACUGAGUCAGCAUGCAUAUCCUUGCUGCCAGCUGCAAGAAGUGCAUCUAAUAUUGGAGAUAAUCUACCAUAAUCAUACUUAUGUGGAUUUUCUUCUAUGAUACUCAUGUCAUUUGAAUCUUCCCCACUUCUGACCUUAUCAGCAGGGACAGAAGACUGAAGGGUAACCAUCUUCGGUUUUGUUAAAGACAUGAGGCUUCCAGAAUCAGUAACAUUGGUAUUAUGGGUUGGUGUCUUCUCUUCAAAGACAAGGCGAACCGCCGUUGGGGUCUUGAGAUCUCCUCCGGAGUCUGACCUUGCAAGACUAUGGUAAUGCAUUGAAAAUUGUCUGUUGCAAAAACAAACCAUAAAAUGCGGUAUAAUUUUCGACUAAGACAUAUGAAAUUUACACACUCAGCGAAAUUACUACCUAACACAAACAACAAGAUAAGCUAUGCAGUUACAAAUUCAAUUACCGGCAUCCCUUUCGAGUAAUUUAAAGUACAGUAAUAUAAAGCACCAAUUACAUAAGCCAUUAAGUACUAACAUCCUAUAAAGAAUCUUCCUUUACUUUCCUAAUUGUGUAUUAAUUACUAAUUAAUCAAAAAUAAGAUAAAAUUUAGGGGCACUUUGGAUGCGGUCCGUAUUUAUCAAUAUUCUUUGAUUGAAACCUUGUUAGUUUUUAGUUUUUGAUUGAGAUCCCUGAUAUUAAUGUAAUAAUGUAAGUUACUAUAUUUUUUUAAUUAAAAAUUAAAAAUUGAAAAUUUUAAUUGUUUAUAUUAAUGAGAUUUUAAAUAAAACCCAUAAUUUAUGGGAUUAAAAAUAAUAAAAUAUAAAUUAUUCUCUCUAUUAUAUUGUGUGUGUACAUUAACCAAAAUUAACAAAAAAAGUUAUUGUACCAAAACAUGGAUACAUUCUCAAAUUAACGAAAAAGAAUGUACCCAUAUAAGUUUAAACAUGGAUUAAAAAAUUUGAAUGGAUUUUAUAUUAAAAAAUGGUACAUUUUACAUAUAACAAAUUGAUAUAUUUGAGAAGAAUGAAUACAUUUAAGAUUAAAAAAAUUGAAAAAUUAUAUGAAUUGGUACAUUUAAGAUUAAAAAAUUGAAAAUCUUUUUAUAUAUAAAAAAAAACUAAUAGGUACAUAAUUUAAUUUAAUUUUUUAUUAUUUUGGAAAUGUUUGAAUUGAAAAUUAAUUAGAAGUUUAAUAAAGGUGUAAGUAUUAAACCCUAAAUUAAUUACUAAUUUUUAUAUUAAAAAAAUUAUAUAAUAAACAUGUAAAUUCAUUAUCACAUUAAUGCUAAGGACUUGAAUCAAAAUUUGAGAACUUAAGUUAGUCAAUAAACAGUAAAAACUAGGGGACGGAUACUAAUUUUUCCUCAAAUUUAUAGCUUACCGUCAUUAGAGGUAGCAGAGCACGGAACACUACUCCCAGGAGAGGGCGAUCCAAUUGGCCUGAAAAACGACUUUCUCCCGUCGUCGUUUUCGUCAUCGUCAUCGGAAUCCCUAAAAUCGUCGCUGUCACCGCCCAAGUCCCUAAAAAACCCUAUCACCGGGUUCUCGGCCUGUUCGAAGUCUUUUUGAGAGCUGGCUUGGGCUUGGGGUCGGGAGGUAUGUCGUAGUCCUCGUCGCUGUUGAAGAUGUGGACGGAGGUGAUCUCUGUGCUCACGCGGCGGGAGCGCUUCCCCUUGAUUCUUAGGGCUAUUGUUCCGGUUCGGUCUCGGAGUUGCAGGGCUCAUCUGGGGCGUUGGAGGCCAUCGGAAAUGGAGGAAUCGGAGAGGGAGAUUGGGAAAAUUAGGGUUUGCAGUUUGAAUUUGGUCGGAGUAGUGCGCUGUGUGUGUCAGUCCCUGUUGGACAGUGGAGCGGGGGAGAGAGAGAGAGAGAGAGAGAGAGAGAGAGAAUGGAGGGAAAAUUAUUUUAAUGGUUUAAAAAUGUUUUAUUUAUUUACGACGGGUCGUUUGAUUCGUUUCUGUUUUGAAUUUUCAUUUUUCUAGUUUUUGAAUAAUUGCAAUUUUGUCCCUCGAGCAUUUUGUUUUAAUUUGUCUUGAUUUAGUGGUAAUUCUUUCUUCCAAAUUUCCAACGAUAGAAGGAAUCUCAUGUUCAUAAUUAGUCUACAUAAUUUAAUGGCAUAAUUUCCCCUUGCAAGUGUGCGGUUUUAAUUUUGACUCAUAUAGAUAGUGAAUUCAAUAUCUAAUUUUUAUUGCUGGCUUAUUAUGUGACUUGAAUUAAAUUCCUUCAAAAUCCAACUUCACAUCACACGACAAAACCAGGUUCUACAAAAAUGAUGACUUAUAAGUUGGACUAAAUGAUUGAUAUUUUAUAUCAGCAUAUGAUCCAGUCACUAAAUACUAAUAAAUAAGUGAGAGUCGUCUCAAUAAAAAGAAAUGACUACCAUCAAAGCUAGUGUUUUAAAAGUGAGUCAACGACAUAAGUUUCGUGCAUGUAAAUGGGAUGGUAUGUAAGAUCAGUCAUAUGUCAUGCUCGCCUUGCAUCAUCAUCUUUACUUCCUCCCAAGCCGCUGCAAGUAUAUAUGCAAGUAAUGAGCUCAGAAAAUGCAAAUAAGGGGGAGGAUUGCCUGGGAUGGGCUCGAUUUCGAUUAAUAUCAACUAAUUAACAAUUUGCAUGCUAAAUGUAAUGCUUAAUUAGAGGUUAAUUUGUUAAUGAAUUUAGGGCUGUUGGGACUCUUGGGAGUGGUGAUUUUUCCACAAAAAUAACAUACCGUGGAGUUUGCUAUGCUGAAGUGGUUUGGACAAGGAACAAAGAUGGAGAUGCCACCUACCCUCUAGUGCCUGGGCACGGAUAUAUGUUCAUCCAUUAACUCAUGAUUUUAUUUUUGUCAUAUGAUUAAUUCUUAAUUAACUACUGCUUAAUGUACAAAUUAUAGACAUGAGAUUGCCGAGGUCGGUCCGAAUAAUGUUCUUGGAUUCAAAGUUGGUGAUCAUGUCGGAGUUGGAACUCAUAUUAAUUCAUGCAGAAGUUGUGAUUAUUGUAACGACAUCCUUUAAGUUUAAUGUGAAGGACUUGUUUACACUUACAACCGUCUCGACGUCGAUGGUACCAUGACGAAGGGUGGAUUUUCCACUUACAUUGUUGUCCAUGAAAUGUGUUGUGUCGCCUCACGAGAAGUGUUUAAUUUGAUAGUUAUACCAACCCAUAGUGUUACUAAUUAAUCAGCAUGUUGCAAUGUUCCAUAUUUAUUGCUCUUUGUUAAUUAAAAUGCUAGGUGGCGCAAUCUGAAUGGGUAACAAUUACAGAAAAAAAAGAAGAAGUUAGGGUUGGUCUUUGACUUUGUCCGGUGGGAGUUGGAGAGAGAACCUCAUUUUCUCUGUUUAUAACUUCAACGAGCCUUAACCCCUAAGCGCAACUCGACCAUGUUUAGGUGAGUUUAAGCCUUCCCACUAGGCAGAGGCGUUUCCACCAACGCCACGCCUCCAAAGCCGGCUAGGCGCACCCCGAGCCGCAUUUUUUAAAACACUGAUUCCUUUCAACAGAAAUUCAAAUGAGUAAUAACAUUAGUAGUCAUAUAUAAGUGAUCAGUUGAUCUUAAUUUUCAUGAAAAUAAUUUUUUGUAAAUCAUUAGCUUAGUGCACAAGAACGUGGAACAAAUUGAGGUGAAGUAAAAUAAGCUAAAGCAAUUUGCCUACUUCUAGCUUAGGAAGCUUUGACUACAAUUGGACUCCUCACAUAGUGUUUACCAUCUGACCAUAUCAACUUCCCAAACACAUAGUUUUUAGCUUGGUUUGCUUCUUUAACCUGCAGGAGUACCUUAAAGCUCUUCUCUUCACCAAUUUUCAUGAACUUCAACUUCUUUGGCUCGACAGAAAUCGAUACCCCAUCCGGGCUUUGGAUAUUCGCCUUAUAUGUUCCUGGAGAGCCAACAUUUUUCACUGUUCUAGUCACCUCAAGGGAUCCAGAGAGUUUAGGGACAGUGAUUGAGGGGUAGUUGAGGUUAGUGGGACUAAUAGCUGGUUUGGGGCACUCAUACGUAUCCUCUGAAAACAUUUCCAUUUCUGUUUCGUUGUAGCCCAUUGCGCACAGGAAGUUCAAGUAAUCGUUAUGGGAUAAAUCGUAUACCAAUCCAGGAUCCAUAGCACUGUUUGGGUUAACAUGUCCUGCGCCGUAACUAAAUGGUGUUGCCUCAUAGAAAGAAGCAUUGAGCAAUGGUUCCAUGCUGUUAUCUCGUGUUAUCGCUGUGUAACACAGGAUUUGAAAGAAAAUAUCAGAAAGACGAGUAAUGGUCUCUUGACAGACGUUAAUGUGAAGCGAAUACAUAAACGACUGUGCGUAGGGACUUCUUACCGGUGGUCAUGAUUGCAGAUUUAAUGGCUGCAGGACUCCAAUGAGGAUAGAGGGUUUUAAGAAGGCCACAAAUGCCGGAAAUAUGUGGACAUGACAUUGAAGUGCCUGACACUGAGUUGAAUGGAAUUCGCCGUUUGUCAAACAUUUGAUUUGUUGGCCCUUGUGCUUUCGUGUAGGCUGCUAUAACACUCACUCCAGGUGCAGUGAUAUCAGGCUGAAUUAAUGUACAACAACAUUUACUGAAUACUUAACGAAAUCAGCAAAAAUAUGUGGAGUCUGUUUAAUGAACAGAAAUUGUGUUUGCUAAUAAAAAAACCUUAAGGAUGCCUGGUGUAAUGGUGUUGGGUCCCUUUGAUGAAAAUGCUGCCAUGAAUGGAGAUGGCUUUGUUCCCAGUUCCGUUAUUGCACGCUUUAUGUAAGCCCGCGGAGACCUGUCAAAAUAUGCAAGUUUCUCAACUAGUAAUUUUACCAAAAACUUGAUAUUGCUGACACUGCAGUGAAGCACCCUAACAUAUGAAACAGACGCAGUUUAAAACAGGCAAUUUGGAGGUACUUCAUCCAUCUUACUUAGUUGAAUUGAUAUAAGCAAAGACAAGGAUGCCGUCGGUGAAAUUGAUAUGUGAAGCAGGGAGGACAUGUGGAUCAGAAAUAAUUUCGUUCCCGUUAAUAGCAUUGUUAGCAAGAAUCAUUCCCACGGCGCCAGCCAGUAAGGCUUGCUCACCCUUGUCCACUCUUGCGUUGUCCCCUCGCAGGCAGGCCAAGAUCUUUCCCUUCACUUUUUUAGGAUCAAGCGUGCCGGCCUUGCAUAGCAGACUGCAGCAUCAUAUAAGCAGAUUACUAAGAACUUUAAUAUAAUUUUAGUAUAAUGAAAAUCGGAAGAUUGAUGUUGCCUAUCCUUACGCUUCUUUAGCUGAUGCAUUAGCUGCUUUGGCAUCCGCAGCACUAAUAAGUUGGUAAAAUUUCUUGCUCUGCAAGGCACUAGACGAUAAGCUUUGUCCCUUCAGAACAAAGUAGAUAAAAGUUACUAUGGAUUUGAGUAGCUUUGCAGGAUAUAUAACAUAAGUUCCCAUAAAACACCCUAACAUGUCUUAUUUUGUAUACGAUAAAAAGGGACGGCUAAUGAUUUUGGCACUCCUUUUCUGUCUAUCUGCCACUCCGAAUUAAAUAUUUUAUAAUUUAUUGUUUCUGCUCACAGGUGAAGUACAAAGACUAAACGAGGAGUGUUAAAAUCAUUAGUCGGGAAAUGGACUUUAAGUAACCUUGAGGUGCUUCCAGUUGCCGAGGGUGACAUAACUCGGAAACUCCCUAUCCAUAGUACUGGCGCCGACUGUGAUCUGCC